AUUGUGUUGAGAGUGUCUGAUGUGAUGGCCGAGCUCUCUUAAGUGUGCGGUUUAUUACUUUGUUUCAGUUUUGAGUUCACGAUAGAGGCUAGCAUGAGUGGUAAGAUUGCUAUGUGAUAACCACUUGAUGCUGUUUCGGAUAAUUAUAGAAUUGUAUGAGCAAACCUGUUGUCCGGGUUAAAAACAUUUACCGAAUUUCUUUACAAAGAGAGCUUGAUGCUGGUUUCCCCCUACUUCUGCAUUAUGUAUGUACAUUACUGCUUGGCUGAUUGCCUAUUGUUGUGGCACUAUCUAUGUGAAAGGGUCCUAGACAUCUAUCUUCCUGUGAGUGGGCUAAACAUUAAGCAAACCUGGAGGAUGUGGCUUAUCAGAAUGAUUGCUCAUUCUUCAGUGUUGAAUCUAGGCUGCUGGUUGCUCAGGAUGGUAGGAGAAUUUGCUGUAUAGGACAAAGGGGUCAGUAGCAGGUGUUGUUUAGUGGAGAGAUGAGGCAAUCUGUGACCUUUCGUCUGCUGCGGAGUAAGAGCGCAGCAGAGGAUGAUGCGUCUGAGGGGAGUAAAGAUGUGCAGUCCCCGUGACCUUGCCGCCAAAGAGUGCAUGUUGUAAUUCCAGCUAUUCAUAGAUAGUUCCUGGUGCCUUGUAUGCCUAUGCUAUCAAAUUCAAAUCCCCAGUGAACAGAGAAGCAACAAAUAAGACACUAGAUGUGAUUCAAAUCCCUAUGGAGAACAGAGAAGCCUUACUCCUUAUAAAAGAAUUGUGUGGCAGACUUGUUCCUUAUAAAGAGUUGCACGGUAGACAGUGGCCUGAACUCACCGGUCCUCUGGUAGGUCAAUGGCUAACAACCCUUUGGUUAUGAACUGGGUCCUCUGGUUGGUCGGUUGCUGUGAGCUUUAUAAAUCUUUUAUAAACAAAAUAAUGAAUGUCCUUACCCUUUUCCUUUUCCAAAAGGAUUAAUUUUGUUAAUCUGCUAACCUCUACUUAAGAUGGCGCACCUAUUUAUUUAUUACAAAUUUCACAAAAAAUAUAUCCAACAUUCUAUCGUCAAAGAAAAAACACCAGAUCAAGUAGAACCAACAUCUCAUAGAAACAAUCAUGUGGCGAUCACAAUGAUGCUAAUCUAGGAGUCACAUGAAGUACCCACUUAAAUUUAGUGGACCGGCUAGUUUGCACCAGAGGUGAAUGUUAUGCUAAUACUUCAAAAUACCCCUUUUUUAUGUAGACCUGAUCUCAAGUUGUAUAUUCAAAGUAUGUUGUGACUGAAGUUGAAUACAACAACUCCAAGCAUCUCAUUAUGAAAGAGGAUGACAUCAUUGGUAUUCUUGAAUCUGAUGAUGUCAAAGACAUGAAGCCUCUCAAUGACUGAGUUCUAAUCAAGGUAUUUAUAUCGAAUGUCAUGUCACUAAUCAGUAGCGUAUAUUUAAAUAAUUUCCAGUCAAUCUUGUAUUGGUUGUAUCUGCAUAAUGGUUAACAGUCCUAUCUGUCUUACAUUUGUGCUAGGUUGCCGAGGUUUCAGAUAAGGCCGAAGCUGGCCUUAUCCUCACCGAGACAACCAAGGAAAAGCCAUCCAUUCGAACAGUAAGUUAUUGCCAUUGGUUAAGAGUCUGCACUUUUUUUUCGACAAAGAAGAGUCUGCACUUAACUGGUACUCCCUCCGUUCGGAAUUACUUGUCACAGAAAUGGAUGUAUCUAGAUGUAUUUUAGUUCUAGAUACAUCCAUUUCCGAGACAAGUAAUUCCGAACGGAGGGAGUAGGUGUUAAACUAAUUCACCUCUUAAUGCAGGUUGUAGCUGUUGGUCCGGGCUCUCUCGACGAGGAAGGCAAGAGGUAGCCAUUGUCGUUGUCACCAGGUAGCACCGUGUUGUACUCCAAGUAUGCAGGCGGUGAGUUCAAGGGAGCUGAUGGCACGAACUACAUUGUGUUGAAAGUGUCUUAUGUGAUGGCUGAGCUCUCUUAAGUAUGCGGUUUAUUACUUUGUUUUAGUUUUGAGUUCACGAUAGAGGCAAGCAUGAGUGGUAAGAUUGCUAUGUGAUAACCACUUGAUGCUGUUUCGGAUGAUUAUAGAAUUGUACUCCCUCCGUCCGAAAAUACUUGUCAUCAAAAUGAAUAGAAGGGGAUGUAUCUAGAUGUAUAUUAGUUCUAGAUACAUCCCUUUUUAUCCAUUUUGAUGACAAGUAUUUUCGGACGGAGGGAGUAUGAGCAAACCUGUUGUCUGGGUUAAAAACAUUUACUGAAUUUGUUUACAAAGGGAGCUUUAUGCCUGUUUUCUCGUGCUUGGCUGAUUGCCUAUUGUUGUGGCACUAUCUAUGUGAAAGGGCCUAGACAUCUAUCUACCUGUGAGUGGGCUAAACAAUAAGCAAAGCUGGAGGAUUUGCCUUAUCAGAAUGAUUGCUCAUUCUUCAAUGUUGCUUCUUCGAACCAUCUAGCGACUAUGCAACCUUAUUUCCCUACGUGAACCAAAUCUAGGCUGCUGGUUGCUCAGGAUGGUAGGAGAAUUUGCUGUAUAGGACAGAGAGGUCAUGUACAUCUGAUGUUUAGCGGAUAGAUGAGGCGAGAUGAGACCCUCUGUCAGCAGCAGAGGAAGAGGGUGAGCACCUUUCAAAGCAUUUGAGUAAGAGGAUGGUGCGAUUCAGCGGAGUAAGAUGUUGAGGCCCAACGGCCUUGCAACAAGUGAGUGCAUGUUGUAAUUCCAACUAUUCAUAGAUAAUUCCUGGUUCCUUCCAUGCCUAUGCUAUCAAAUCAAAUCCCUGGUGAACAGAGAAGCAACAAAUAAUACACCAAAUGUGAUUCAAAUCCCUAUGGAGAACAGAGAAGCCUUGCUCCUUAUGAAAGAGUUGUGUGGCAGACUUGUUCCUUAUAAAGAGUUGCGCGCUAGACAGCGGCGUGAAGUCAUCAGUCCUCUGGUAGGUCAAUGGCUCACAAUCCUUUGGUUAUGAACUAGGUCCUCUGGUUGGUCAGCCGCUGUGAGCUUUAUAAAUUCCUUUUAAAAAAAUGAUGAAUUUUCUCGAAAGUACUCUUUUGCUCUCGAGCUCAGAUGAGCUUGGAUGAACAGUAAAAUAAAUAAAAAAUCAAAGCAUUCCUAUUUGUGAAAGGUGCAACAAAAAAAAUCAAUGCUCUAAAAUGCUUUCUAAAGUACCAUUUUGGAUAAUGUAACAUCAACUGAUUCAGUUUCCUUUUUGUGGGUGAAGACUCAGUUAAUCCAGCGAAACUUCAAAGGGGUGGACUAAUGAGAUCUUUCUGUCUAUCUGCUCAAGGUGUAACCGGAACCUUGGGUGAGAUGGGGAUCAGGGAGGUGGCUGCGCUAUAGCCUCGAGACACCGGGCACUGAGCGUAAUUAAUUUUCUAUUGAGCGUAAAACCAAACAUAAUUUGAGGUAAUUUGUUACAAACUGACCAACCAAACACAUAUAUGUAUUCUUGAAUCUGAUGGUGUCAAAGACAUGAAGCCUCUCAAUGACUGGGUUCUCAUCAAGGUAUUUAUAUCGAUUGUCAUGUCACUAAUCAGUAGCUUAUAUUGAAGGGAUUUCCAGUCGAUCUUGUACUGGUUGCAUGUGUAUAACGAUUAACAAAGCUUAUCUGUCCUGCAUUUGUACUAGGUUGCUGAGGCUUUAGAUAAGAGUGCAGCUGGUCACCUAGAUAACCAAGGAGAAGACAUCCAUUGGAAUAGUAAAUUAUCACCAUUGUUAGAGUCUGUGCCAAACUAGUACUCCCUUUCGUAAACUAAUAUAAGAGCGUUUAGAUUAUUAUUUUAGUGAUCUAAACGCUCUUAUAUUAAUUACAGAGGGAGUAGGUGUUUAACCAGUUCGCCUCUUAAUGCAGGUCGUAGCUGUUGGUCCGUGCUCAAUCGACGAUGAAGGCAAGAGGCAGCCACUGUAGGUGUCACCAGGCAGCACUGUGAUGUACUCCAAGUAUGCAGGCGACGAGUUCAAGGGCACUGAUGGCACAAACUACAUUGUGUUGAGAGUGCAGAUGUGAUGGCCGAGCUCUCUUAAAUGUGCGGUUUGUUACUUUGUUUCAGUUUUGUGUUCAUAAUGGAGGCGAGCAUGAGGGUUGAGAUUGCUCUGUGGUAAUCGCUUGAUGCUAUUUCGGAUGGUUAUAGAAUUGUAUGAGCAAACCACUUGUCCGGGUUAAAAACAUUUACCGAAUAUGUUUACAAAGUUAGUUUGAUGCCUGUUUCCCCCUACUUAUACAUUAUGUAUGUACAUUAGUGCUUAGCUGAUUGCCGAUUGUUGUGGCAUUACUUCUGUGGAAGGUUCCUAGGCAUCUCUCUUCCAGUGAGCGAGCUAAAAAGUGAGAAAGCCUAGAGGAUCUGGUCUUUAGGCAAGUCUGAUUGCUCAUUCUUUAAUGUUGCUUCUUUAAAUUAUCUAGGGACCAAAUAUAUGCCGCUGGUUACUCAGGAUGGCAGGAGAAUUUGCCGUAUAGGACAGCGUCAUGAUGUUGAACUGAUGUUUAGCGGUGAGACGAGGCAAACUGGGACCUUUGGUCAGCAGCAGAGUAAUAAGACGCCGACCUUUUGAAGCAGAAGAGUAGGUGGAUGAUGGAGGUCAGCGGAGUAAGAUGUGGAGGUCGAGCACCAUUGCGACCAGCGAAUGCAUGUUGUAAUUCUAGCUACUCAUGGGUAAUUCCUGGUGCCUUCUAUGCCUAUGCUAUCAAAUUGAAAUCUCUAGUGAAUAGAGAAGCAACAAAUAAUACACUAAAUGUGAUUCAAAUACAUGAAAUGAGUUAUCCCUAAGGGGAGCUUUGCUCCUUAUAAAGGAGUUGUGUGGCAGACUUGCUCCUUGUAAAGAGUUGUGCCGUAGAUGGUGGUGUGAAGUCAUCAGUCCUCCGGUAGAUCAAUUGCUAAAAAUCCUUUGGUUAUGAAUUGGGUCCUCUGGUUGGUCAGCCGUUGCGAACUUUAUAUAGAUCUUUUAAACAAAACAAUCAACUUAUUUGCCUUUGUUUUUCAAAAGGAUUAAUUCUGUUAAGCUUGCAACCUCUACUUCAAGAUGACACACCUAGACAACAAAUUAUUUAUUACAAAGUUCGCAAAAAAUUUAGCCCAACAUCAAAAGAUAAAACACCUGCUUAAUUAGAACCAACAUCUCAUAGAGUGACACUAAUUUGGGAGUCAUGAAGGAUCCGUUUAAAAUUAUAAAAUUAAUGGAGCAGCUACUUUGCACUAAAGCUUAUGUUAGAGGUGAAUCCUAUGCUAAUACUUCAAAAUACCCAGCUUGGACAGACGUUGAAUACAACAACUCUAAGCAUCUCAUUAUGAAAGAGGAUGGGAUCGUAGGUCUUCUUGAAUCUGAUGAUGUCAAAGACAUGAAGCCUCUCAAUGACCGGGUGGUGAUCAAGGUAUUUAUAUCUAAUGUCGUGUAACUAAACUAUACUAGUGUAUAUUUCAAGAAUUUUCAGUCAAGCUUGUACUGGUCAUGCCUACCGGUUAACAAUGCUUAUCUAUCUUGCAUUUGUGCUAGGUUGCAGAGGCUUCGAACAAGACUGAAGCUGGUCUUAUCCUCACCGAGACAACCAAGGAGAAGCCAUCCAUUGCAACAGUAAGUUAAUUAUCAUUAGGUAGAAAUCCAUGUUGAACUAGCAGGUGUUUAACUGAUUCACAUCUAAAUGCAGGUCAUAGCUGUUGGUCCGGGCACUCUCGACGAGGAAGGCAAGAGGCAGUCCCAUUGUCGGUGUUACGAGGUAGCACCGUGCUGUACUCCAAGUACGCAGGCCGUGAGUUCAAGGAAGCUGAUGGCACGAACUACAUUGUGUUGAGAGUGUCGGAUGUGACAGCUGAGCUCUCUUAAAUGUGUGGUUUAUUACUUUGUUUCAGUUUGAGUUCAUGAUAGAGGCUAGCAUGAGUGGUAAGCUUGCUAUGUGAUAACCACUUGAUGCUAUUUCGGAUGGUUGUAGAAUUGUAUAAGCAAACCUGUUGUCCGGGUUAAAAACAUUUACUGAUUUUUUUAGAAAGGAAGCCUGAUGCAUGUUUUCCCCUACUUCUACAUUAUGUAUUUACAUUAAUGCUUGGCUGAUGGCCUGAUUUUUGUAGCGAUAUGAUGAUUUACAAUAAUAUAGUCAUGUUAUUGAACUUUACUUCUAUGAAGUGUUCCUUGUGAUUGCAUAUUGUUACAGACAUUUAUCAUCCUAUCAGUGGGCUAAAAAGUUAGCACUUCUGGAGGAUCGGGCCUGUAGGUGAGCUAGGAGGAUCUGAGCUGCACUCAGGCCUAUGAUGCGCCUCAGGGGAGUAACAUCUGGAGGCCCCAUGACCUUGACGCUAGAGAAUGCAUGUUGUAAUUCCAGUUAUUCAUAGAUAAUUCCUGGUGCCUUCUAUGCCUAUGCUAUAAAAUUCAAAUCCCUAGUGAAUAGAGAAGUGACAAAUAAUACACUAGAUGUGAUUCAAAUCCCUAUGGAGAACAGAGAAGCCUUACUCCUUAUGAAAGAGUUGUGUGGCAGACUUGUUCCUUAUAAAGAGUUGCGCGGUAGACAACGGCGUGAAGUCAUCAGUCCUCUGGUAGGUAAAUGGCUAACAAUCGUUCGGUUAUGAACUGGGUCCUCUGGUUGGUCAGCCGUUGUGAGAUUUAUAAAUCUUUUAAACAAAAUGAUGAAUUUCCUCGAAAGUAUCCUUCUGUGCUCGAGCUCAAGUGAGCUCAGAUGAACAGUAAAAUCGAAAAGAAAUUCAAAACGUUCUGAAAACUUUUUGGUGGUAAACUUUAACAAAUGUUAUAAGUGUUUGUAGAUUUUCGUCAUGAGAUCACAAUCGUGAAAGGCGUGGCAAAAAAAAAAGCAGUGCUCCAAAAUGCUUUUGAAAGUAGCAUUCUGGAUAAUGUAAUGUCAACUGAUUCCUUUUUUUGCGGGUGAAGAUUCAGUUAAUCCAGAGAAACUCCAAAGGUGUGGACUGAUGAGAUGUUUCUGAAUGUCUGCUCAAGGUGUAACCGGCACCUUGGGUGAGAUGGGGAUCAGGGAGGUCGCUGCACUGUAGCCCCGAUGCGGAGGGGAAUGCGAAGGAGAGCUAUUGUUGGGGGGAAACCACUCACGGAAGAAGAUGUCGCUUUCCCUUUACACCGGGCAUUGAGCGUAAUCAAUUUUCUAUUGAGCGUAUCCCAUUACAUUCCUAUCAAACCAAACUGAAUUUGAGGUAAUUUGUUAACAAAUUACCCUACAAACUAACCAACUAAACACAUAUAUGUAUUCUUGAAUCUGGUGGUGUCGAAGACAUGAAGCCUCUCAAUGACUGGGUUCUCAUCAAGGUAUUUAUAUCAAUUGUCAUGUCACUAAUCAGUAGCUUAUAUUGAAGGAACCUCCAGUCGAUCUUGUACUGGUUGUAUGUGCAUAAUGAUUAACAAAGCUUACCUAUCAUGCAUUUGUGCUAGGUUGCCGAGGCUUCAGAUAAGACUGCAGCUGGUCAUCAAGAUAACCAAGGAAAAGAUAUUCAUUGGAAUAGUAAGUCAUCACCAUUGGUUAGAGUCUGCGCCAAACUAGUAGGUGUCUAAUCAGUUCACCUCUUAAUGCAGGUCAUAGCUGAUGGUCCGGGCUCACUCAACAAUGAAGGCAAGAGGCAGCCACUGUCAGUGUCACCAGGCAGCAUUGUGCUGUACUCCAAGUAACCAAGGGCACUGAUGGCACAAACGGCAUUGUGUUGAGACUGCCAGAUCGAUGUGAUGGCUGAGCUCUCUUAAGUGUGCGGUUUGUUACUUUGUUUCAGUUUUGAGUUCACAAUGGAGGCAAGCAUGAGAGUUGAGAUUGCUAUGUGGUAGUCACUUGAAUGCUAUUUCGGAUGGUUACAGAAUUGCAUGAGCAAAGCACUUGUCCGAGUUAAAAACAUUUACUGAAUAUGUUUACAAAGAAGUUUGAUGCAUGUUUCCCCCAACUUCUGCAUCAUGUAUGUACAUUAGUGCUUAGCUGAUUGCCUAUUGUUGUGGCAUUACUUCUAUGAAAGGUUCCUAUACAUCUAGUAUCUUCGUUCUGUAAGUGGGCUAAGCAGUAAGCAAGCCCGGUGGAUCAUGUUUAUCAGAAUGAUCGCUCAUUCCUCAAUGUUGCUUCUUCAAACCAUCCAACAACAAUGCAACCUUAUUUCCCUGAGUGAACCAAAUCUAGGCUGCUGGUUGCUCACGAUGGCAAGAGAAUUUGCCGUAUAGGACAGCAUGGUGACGCAGAGCUGAUGUUUAGCGGUAAGAUGAGAAGAACUGGGUCCUUUGGUCAGCAGCAGAGAAAUGGGAUGCUGACCUUUUGAAGCAGCAGAGUAAGUGGAUGACGCGGGUUAGCGGAUUAAGAUGUGGAGGCUGAGCACCAUUGUGACCAGCGAGUGCAUGUUGUAACUCCAGCUACUCAUAGGUAAUUCCUGGUGCCUUCUAUGCCUAUGCUAUCAGAUUCAAAUCUCUUGUGAACAGAGAAGCAACAAAUAAUACACUAAAUGUGAUUGGAAUGCAUGAAAUGAGUUAUCCCUAAGGGAAGCUUUGCUCCUUAUAAAAGAGUUGUAUGGCAGACUUGCUCCUUGUAAAGAGUUGUGCCGUAGACGGUGGUGUGAAGUCAUCUGUCCUCUGGUAGGUCAAUGGCUAAAAAUCCUUUGGUUAUGAAUUGGGUCCUCUGGCUGGUCUGCCGUUGCAAACAUUAUAGAUCUUUUAAACAAAAUAAUUAGUUUACUUGCCUUUAUUUUUCAAAAGGAUCAAUUUUGUUAAGCUUCCAACCUCUCCUUCAAGAUGACACACCUAAACAACAAUUUAUUUAUUACAAAGUUCACAAAAAAUUAAGCAAAACAGCAAAAGAGAAAACACCAGCUUAAUUAGAACCAACAUCUCAUAGAAACUAAUCAAGUGACACUAAUUUGGGAGUCACAUGAAGGAUCCAUUUCAAAUUAUAAAAUUAAUGCACCAGCUACUUUGCACUAAAUCCUAUGUUAGAGGUGAAUCUUAUGCUAAUACUUUGAAAUACCCCGUGUACUUUUUAUGUAGAACGGAUCUCAAGUUGCAUAUUCAAAGUAUGCUCGGACAGACGUUGGAUACAACAACUCUAAGCUUGCCGUUAUGAAAGAGGAUGCCAUCAUAGGUAUUCUUGAAUCUGAUGAUGUCAAAGACAUGAAGCCUCUCAAUGACCGGGUGCUGAUCAAGGUAUUUAUAUAUAAUAAUGUUGUGUAACUAAACUAUACUAGUGUAUAUUUAGAGAAUUUUUAGUCAAGCCUGUACUGGUCAUGCACACCGGUUAACAAUGCUUAUCUAUCUUGCAUUUGUGCUAGGUUGCAGAGGCUUCAGACAAGACUGAAGCUGGUCUUAUCCUCACCGAGACAACCAAGGAGAAGACAUCCUUAUUGGAACAGUAAGUAAUUAUCAUUAGGUAGAAUCUGUGCUGAACUACCGGGUGUUUAACCGAUUCACCUAUAAAUGCAGGUUGUAGCUAUUGGUCCGGGCUCACUUGACGAGGAAGGCAAGAGGCAGCCACUGUCGGUGUCACCAGGAAGCACUGUGCUGUACUCCAAGUAUGCAGGCGGCGAGUUCAAGGGCGCUGAUGGCACAAACUACAUUGUGUUGAGAGUGUCAGAUGUGAUGGCUGAGCUCUCUUAAGUGUAGGCUUUGUUACUUUGUUUCAGUUUUGAGUUCAAAAUGGAGGCAAGCAGGAGGGUUGAGAUUGCUAUGUGGUAAUCACUUGAUGCCAUUUCAGAUGGUUAUACAAUUGCAUGAGCAAACCACUUGCACGGGUUAAAAACAUUUACCGAAUAUGUUUACAAAGGAAGUUUGAUGCCUGUUUUCCCCUACAUCUACAUUAUGUAUGUACAUAAAGCUUAGCUGAUUGCCUAUUGUUGUGGCAUUACUUCUGUGAAAGGUUCCUAAGCAUCUAUCUUUCUACGAGUGGGCUAAAGAGGAAGCAAACCUUGAGGAUCUGGCUUAUCAGAAUGAGUGCAAACCAUCUAUUGACCAUGCAACCUUAUUUCCCUAAGCUACCAAAUCUAUGUUGCUGGUUGCUCAGGAUGGCAGGAGAAUUGGGUGUAUAGGACAUCUAUAUAUGCCUAGUGGGGUUGUGUUUUAGUGGGGAGAUGAGGCGAACUGGGACCUUUUUUCAUCAGCGGAGUAAGAGGAUGAGGAAUUUGUGAAGCAGCAGUGUAAGAGGGUGAUGGGUUGGCGGAGUAAGAUGGGGAAGCCCAACAGUCUUGUGAUCAGAGACUGCACGUUGUUAUUUAAGCUAUUCAUAGAUAAUUCCUGGUGCCUUUUAUGCCUAUGCUAUCAAAUUCAAAUCCCUGGUGAACAUAGAAGCAACAAAUAAUACUUAUGUGAUUCUAAUACAUGAAAUGAGUUAUCUAAGGGAAGUCUUGCUCCUUAUAAAAGAGUUGUCUGGCGGAUUUUCUCCUUAUAAAGAGUUCUGCAAUAGAUGGUGGUGUGAAGUCAUCCGUCCUCCGGUAAUUCAAUGGCUAAGAAUCCUUUGGUUAUAAACUGGGUCCUCUGGUUGGUUGGCCACUAUGAAAUUUAUAAAUCUUUUAUAAACAAAAUAAUGAAUUUACUUGCCUUUUUUCCCAAAAGGAUUAAUUUUGUUAAGCUUACAACCUCUACUUCAAGAUGACACACCUAGCCAACAAAUUAUUUAUUUAUUACAAAGUUUACAAAAAAUAAAGCCCCAAAUACAAGCUUGAGUAGAACCAACAUCUCAUAGAAACUAGUCAUGUGCCGAUCACAGUGAUGCUAAUUUUUGGAAGCCACAUGAAGGAUUCAUUUAAAUUUAAUGCACCACCUAGUUUGCACUAAAGCUUAUGUUAGAGGUGAAUCUCUACUCCUAAUGUCUGAGUUGGUAGAAUAGUAUCCAUGGUUUAUUUUCGUCCCACCACUUUCAACCGUUUUAUUUCACUGGUUUUUUUUCGUCCCCUCCCCCCACCCCACCGAUUUAGUUCCGCAUCACCCUAUUACACAACGAAAAAAAUCUGAACGGAUCAGAACUUUCCAUGCUAGCGAAAGUUAUUUAGCAAUAUCUUUAUGUGAAAGAAUCAAUCACGAUCAAUCUCUAAAGGUCAAAUCUAAAUUAAUUAGCCUUACCAUAAAUUACUCAAUCACAUUAAUUAAGGAACAAAUAACCGUGCGUAUGAGCAUUAAUCGCUCAAUCACAUUAAUUAGCCUUACCAAGAGGAACGAGGGCGGCGGCGACCGGCUGCGCGAGAGGUCGAUCUGGUCGCGCCUUCCCACCACCGACCGCGCCGCGUCGUUGUCGGAGGGCCACCCUGCCGCUACCGGGGACUCACCAGGUCGAAGCACGCCACCACGCCGCCACUCUUCUGUCUCUCCCUACUCGCCUCUUGCGGCCAAGGAGCGCCCCAACCUCGACAUGUCACUCGCAUGGCUCCCAUGGUGCCGCCCCGCAUAGCUCCUUGCUGAGUGCCGCAGGUCAUGAUGCCCGCCGAUUCGAUCUGCACGGCCUACCCCACCCCUGCUUGCCGGGGAUGCCUCCUUCCGUUGUCCUCAUGCUCGUCACCGGUCACCUCUCUACCUUCGGCCGACCUCCACUAACGGCUCUGCCUGUGCCUCGAUCCCAUGCACCAUGGCCGCUUGGAUGGCCAACCACCGUACACAGGCAACUGCCGUGCUAUGUAUCCUCGACCACUAUUGUUGUUUUUCUAAAGAUAUUCUUAUUCCAUUUGCACCAACCUUGCGGUUUAGUAACAUGAACGUCUUUGUUUCUUCUACUACAAUGACAGGAUAAGAGUACCUUAUCCUUUCAGCGGGGUGCUCCAACUUUUGAUGCUGGUGAAGCUUUCGCAAUGAUGGCUGCAUCCUCCAUCAUUUGUUAGUCUCCGUUGGAGGUUUACUUAAAAUGAGGUAGAUAUGCUAGAUUCUUUUGUCAAAUAAAAACAUGACUAUCUACUUUGCUUGUCAGGACCAAGAUCUCUAGCUAUCAAUGAAAUUUUGAGAGUAGUUUUUGUUGCCUUUGUGUAACCCUAAUAGCAGCUUCUUGGAGGGUUCAGAUGUGUGGCAAAGGAUUUCAAUUUUCCUGUUUACACAAAGGAAACUUGAAUAAGGUUCAGAUUUCUCAUGCUCGGUUCUGUGCUCUCAAGGUUACAUAGACAAAAAUGCCUCCUAUUUACACAAAGGUAACCCCAGGAAGGUUUAAAUUUCUCAUGACAGCUUCUUGGGCAUUUCAUGCUUGUGCCAUCUUAUUAGGAAAAUGUAGUUUGCCUGAUGAUGCUCGACGCUUUUAUCGAUUAGCACGUGCUCAGUUUUAGCUCAUAAACUACAUGGCAAAAGCUAAUUUUGAUGGGUCUGAUGCAAAUAAUUUUCAUCUUCAGACAUGCCUUGAGUUGAUUAUUUAAUCCUUUUAUAAGAAUCUAUCUAGCUUUGUAUUGUUGCAGUUUCAUUAUAUAUCCACUUACCUAUGCAUCUAAAGAUUCAACAAUGUACAAUCCACCAUCAGUCUUGGGACUACAAAUUGUUUCUUCAUUCCUCCGUGUUGCACUGUAGGUACUAAGGGGUCGAGGUCGUAUGUUCGUCGAGGCAUCAAUACACUUCACUUUCAUUUUCAUUUUCCCUUUUCCGUUCUUGCAUUCAUUUCUUCUUCACGAACCUCUCUUCCCGCUGCUUUAAUAUGGUUCUGAUUGGUGCCCUACAUCUUCCAAGAUAUAUGGAUUUUGGUCGAGGCAGUCAUCACAUAAAUAAAAUGCUAACAUCCUCUCAAUUUCUAAAUGGAUUUGUUGAAUUGCCUUUCUCUUUGUUGGAUUAGAUACCUGAUAUUUUUGUUGUCCUUGAAGCAAAUACCAUGACUUGAGAUUGAAGUUUUCGAAGAUACAAAAGGUUGAUAGAAAGAGUAUACACUGAUUUCAGCUGCGGACACUUAAGAGCUGAGGCUCUCCCUGAUAGGUAACUCAACUUUCAACAUAUUCAUUGCAGAAGCAGAAACAACGGGAUACAUGACCUGAAUACUUGCAUUCUGACUUGUUUUUGCCCGUGCCUCAAAUUGGAAUGAUGUCCAUGCUGUUGACCUCUACAAGUUACCCACACUUCAGGUAACCCAAGGGUUGGAACCCCAACAAUUUAGGUAAUAUGAGAAAAUUAGACUGCUUGGGUCAUGUUGGUCAAUAGAGUAAUUAGCAUGUUGGUUCUGUUUUGAGAUGAUGUAAACUUGAUGUAUAGAGAAAUAUUGAUGGCAAUGAUCAGUGUGGAAUAUGAUAGUUACAGAGUUCUUCCUCAGUUAUUAUUCAGCAAAGAUUGGACACGUGUGAUUUGUUCUACUACCAAGUCAAUCUUGGUCCAUAUUGUCGGAGUUUUCUUAUUGAGUUUAUUUUGUUGCUAUUAGUAUUUUUCAUUUAUGCAGAGGCCUGGUGUAAUGAUUUAAACCUUUUAAGUAAUAAAUCCACCCUUCAUCGAAAAAAUAGUAUUUUCAUUUAAACUGGAAGUUUAUGAAGAAGGGGCUUUGUUGAAAUGCAUGAAUUUGUUUUCAUAUUUUCUUUGGAAGAAUGAGAUGACCAGGAACAUUAUCAAGUUUGUAGUUGUUCAUCGCCUCAUCCUUAAAAAAAGGUUGUAGCUGCUCACGUAAUAUUCACACAUGAUUGGUGGCAUGGCAGUGGCCGGCGGAAGCAAGCUUCUAUUUGACACAGAAAUCUCAUUUUUCUAGCUACUACAAGAAAUCAUGGAGCAGUUUGUAGGAUUAUGGCGGAUCCUACACAUGUGUUACAUGUGUUUCUCUCUACUUUGUGCUCCUGAUUUGUUUUCCCUGCGAUAUGGUGGAUUAAUGUAUAUUCUUCUGAAGUCAUAGUACAUUCAUCGUCUGUAUAUAUGUUUGUAUGCUGCAAACCAGAGUCCGGCAAGCAGCAGCUGAUUUCUUCAUUUGCUAUCUUUAUAUUCUUCAAAGAAAUUAAAUUUCUUAUCUUGCACCUGAGAUGAACCUACAAUCUAGAGCACAAGGAAACUAUAGAUCAUUUUUUCUAUUGCUUCUGCGAACUUAAGUUAUGGCUUUCAGAAGUAUUUAAACAUCAUGUCCUUUAUAUGGUUGUCUACCUUUGCAAAAUAAUCAAUUGAGCUAUCAAACAUAAUAUAGGACACAAAAAUAGAAGUGUAUGAGCAUGUAGUGUAUAGUUGGGGAGAUUAGGGGAAUGUACUGACAAGUGACAAGCAUAUUUCCUUUCGUCCUCGAUGCUGCUUCCUUAGCUCACACAGUAGUUCUCUUAAUAUGUAUCAUACUCAAUUUGAUUGGCAGGCUUCAGGUAAUUUGUGUUCAUGUGGUAAGAUCAACGGACUUGUACUGCUACGAAUUACAUCACAGACUAUGUGCUACUUUAUUAAUUGUAGUUUCUUUGUUCAGUUAGUUCUCUGGAGAAAAACCACUUCUUCUCCCGAUGUAUAUGUUUCUUGGCAAAAUUUGCUGUGAUACUAAUCUUCCAAAGAUUGUUGUAAGAAAUAACUAUAUUUACUAUCUUAUCUCACUAGUGGGCUAACUCUAUAAAAGAACUAAUAAGGAGAUUUCUUAGCAGCACUUUAUAUGUUUGGAGCAGUGAGAUAAUUUUAGCAUAUAUGACAUAUAUGAAUUUCUUUCUCUUGCCUUUCCUGAUUUCGUUUUCCCCUCCAUUUUUUUCAGGUUCCAAGGUUUGGCCGCAACUAGCUUGAUUUGGAGACAUUUCCAGUUAGGAGUUAAACUUUGGUUUGGAGGCAUUGAGCUUUGGCUAUAACUAGCUUUGUUACUUGGUAUAUCUCUGUCGGUGUUCAGGUAAACACUAUCUACCACAUUGUUUAAUCUGGGGUUUACUCUAGUGCCAUGUGUACUAUAUUGCUAGAUUUAACUCUAAUCUAUGAGUUGCUCUGUAUCUAUUUCGGAAUAAAUGGUUCAUACUAGGAUUUAAUUAGUGAUCUUACUUCUGUUGCUUCUUGGCGACUAUGAAAUAUAUUGCAUUUUCAUGGAAGCAGGAGCCAGGUAGUUGUGGAGUGGGUCAUGGGAGAGGCGGUCGGCGAGCGCGGGAUGGACGGGAAGGUGAUUCCUGUGAUGGCGACCAUGCCGGCGGGCAGGGCAGGGUCGAUCGUGGCAAUCAUGGUGUUUCCGAGGGAGAGCGAGGCAUCUGCCGUCGCGCAGCUAAAGAAGUCGAUGCUCGGGUGAGGUUGGCCACCGUGGCCGCGUGAAAGCUGACGGACUUAAAGGCCGGUGACAGGUUCGCCGUCGUCGCACCGUCUCUCAACUUGGUGGAGACGCGAAAGGAGAGCCGUGGCGCCAUGAAGACCUCGACGCAUGCUACCGUGACCACGACCAGGCCAUUGUGCUGGUAAUAAAGAUACUUUUUUUGUGGGGCGCUGGUAAUAAAGAUACUAAUUGUAUACAUUUCCCCAGCUUCGAAAACAUUAGAUAAAUAUCCAACUUAUUAUUGAAAAAUCUUGAUUCAACAUAAAUGAAACCUUCCUAUAUACAAUGAGCUUCAGAAACAUUAGAUAAAUAUCCAACUUAUUAUUGAAAAAUCUUGAUUCAAGAUAAAUGGAACCUUUCCUAUAUACAAUGAGCUUAUUAUUGAAGGUUCCAUCGAUUGUGCUAUUAUUGCUGAAAUAAGAGGCUUAUGUGAAUUUGUCAAUCUUUUUGUACCUUGUAAUAGUGAUUGCCAGUCUUUGUGUACCUUGUGAUAGUGACUGUCAAUCUUUGUGUACCUUGUAAUAGUGACACGUGGAUGCGUGAAGUUGAGUGAUACUCCCUCCGUAAAAAGUAUAAGAGCAUUUAGAUCAGAAAGUCAAUGUGGCUCCUGGGAGCAUAUGCUUCCGAGGCCAAAUUUUCUUUGAAAAAUAAUUCAAGACAAAAUUUGUUUGUAUACUUAUUCACAUCCAAGUGCCACCUGCAAAUUUGGAGGAAAAAAGCUUAAACAUUUUGGCUUGUGCAAAAAAAAAUUGAACACCAAAAGUUACCCCAAAAUGUCAGCCCAAAUUUGUUUUUUUGGCCGAUGAAACACCACCGCUCCGCUUCGCAUGAAAUUGUCAUGCAUGCUUGCAACACAAACACAAACAUCUACAAAAAAAUCAGAAUUUUUUGAAUACAUUUAAUAUAAUUUUUUGCGUUACUCCAGUUAUCAGUUCUUGGGUGGCGAUUGAUUUCGCUGGUUAAGGAGAUAUGAAGGUUGCCCAGAAGGAAAAAAAGUGAAGACAAUUUAUAUUCGUCGUUGCAUGAUGAAAACUGGAUGUAACCAUGUUUAACUCGUAUUUCUAAGUUAGAAGAAUAAUUUGAUUAACGUGUGCAUAUUUUUAUUAUUCCGUAGCAACGUAUGGGUAUUCGGCUUUUGCCCGUAGCAACGCAUGGGCAUUCUACUAGUAUUAUGCUAAUACUUCAAAACACCCCAUGUAUUUUUUAUGUAGACCGGAUUUCAAGUUGUGUAUUCAAAGUAUGUUGGGACCAAGCUUGAAUACAAAAAUUCCAAGCAUCCCAUCAUGAAAGAGGAUGACAUCAAAUAUAUGUAUUCUUUAAUCUAAUGAUGUCAAAUAAGCAUCUGAAUGACCGAGUUCCCAUCAAGGUAUUUAUAUUGAAUGUCAUGUCACUAGUCAGUCGUGUACAUUUAAGGAAUUUCUAGUGCUGGUUGUAUGUGCAUAAUGGUUAACAGUGCUUAUCUGUCCGACAUUUGUGCUAGGUUGCCGAGGCUUUAGAUAAGACUAAAGCUGGUGUUAUCCUCACCGAGACAACCAAGGAGAAGCCAUCCAUUGGAACAAUAUGUUAAUUAUCAUUACGUAGAAAUCUGUGCUGAACUAGCAGGUGUUUAACCGAUUCACCUAUAUAUGCAGGUUGUAGCUGUUGGUCUGGGCUCUCUCGACAAGGAAGGCAAGAGGCAACCAUUGUCGGUGUCUCCACGCAGCACCGUGCUAUACUCCAAGUACGCAGGUGGCGAGUUCAAGGGAGCUGAUGGCACGAACUACAUUGUUUUGAGAGUGUCUGAUGUGAUGGUUGAGCUCUCUUAAGCGUCUGGUUUAUUACUUUGUUUUAGUUUUGAGUUGACGAUAGAGGCUAGCAUGAGUGGUAAGAUUGCUAUGUGAUAACCACUUGAUGUUGUUUCAGAUGAUUAUAGAAUUGUAUGAGCAAACCUGUUGUCUGGGUUAAAAACAUUUACCGAAUUGUUUACGGAGGGAGCUUGAUGCCGGUUUCCCUCUACUUCUACAUCAUGUAUGCACAUUAGUGCUUAGCCGAUUGCCUAUUGUUGCACUACUUAUGUGGAGGGUUCCUACACAUCUAUCUUCCUAUGAGUGGGCUAAAUAGUAAGCAAACCUGGAGGAUCUGGCUUAUCAGAAUGAUGUCACAUUCUUCAAUGUUGCUUUUUUGAACCAUCUAUCGACUAAUAAUAACAGGAUAUAUCUUCUUUUCAUCAAGAUAAGCAUAUUUCAAAGUACCAUGCAAUUGCGUAAGCUCAAACACGGGGUCACCCUUGGGCGGAGGAGGAUCCCCAAGGAUUUCAACAGGCAAGUUGUGUUUUAAAACAGGCAUUUGGUUAAAGAAUAUUUCAUCUAAUUCCUUUCUUUCAUUUAUAAACAUAUCAUUUUCAUGGUCUAACAGAUAUUGUUCGAAAAGAUCAGUAGGAGGCACAACAAUAGAAGUAAGACCAAUAAUUUCAUUCUUACUAGGCAACUCUUUAUCAUGGGGUUGUCUACGAAAUUUAGAGAAAUUAAAAUCAUGAGACACAUCCCCAAAACUUAUAGUAAUAGUUUCUUUCUCACAAUCGAUCUUAGCAUUAACAGUGUUCAAGAAAGGUCUACCAACUAUAAUGGAACAAAAAUCAUCUUGUGGGGAAACAAGAACAAGAAAAUCAGUAGGGUAUUUUAUUUUCCCACACAAGAUUUCAACAUCUCUAACAAUCCCAAUUGGUGAUAUAGUAUCUAUUUUGGCAAGCUAAAUAGUAACAUCAAUUUCUUCUAUCUCAGCAGGUGCACUAUCAUUCAUUAUUUCUUGAUAUAAAGUAAAAGGAAUUGCACUCACACUAGCACCCACAUCACAUAAGCCAUGAUAACAAUGAUCUCUUAUUUUAACAGAAACAACAUGCAUGCCAACAACAGGUGUAUGUUUGUCUUUUUCAUCGGGUUUGGCAAUUCUAGCAGCUUCAUCAUAGAAGUAAAUAACAUGCCCAUCAAUAUUAUCCACCAAUAGAUCUUUAACCAUAGCAAUAUUAGGUUCAACUUUAGUUUGUUCAAGGGGCGUAGGUGUUCUAGUAUAACUCUUACAACCACAGUUGAAGCUUUAGCAUGUUCCUUUAUUCUAACAGGGAAAUGUGGUUUCUCAAUGUAAGCACUAGGAACAACAGGAUCAAUAUUAUAAGUAAUAGUUUCUUUUUCAACUUUAAUAGGUUAUACUACUUUUACUUCAAUGGGAGGCUAAUAUUUAAACCACUUCUCUUUAGGGAGAUCAACAUGCGUAGUAAAUGAUUCACAAAAAGAAGCUACUAUCUCAGAGUCAAGUCCAUAUUUAGUGCUAAAUUCACGAAAAGCAUCGGUAUCCAUAAAAGAUUUAACACAAUCAAACUUAAGGUUUAUACCUGACUCAUUACCUUCGUCGAGUUCCCAAUCUUCAUAGUUGCAUUUAGUUCUUUCCAAUAAAUCCCAUUUGAAUUCAAUAGUCUUCUUCACAAAAGAACCAGUACAAGAAGUAUCGAGUAUGGAUUGAUCAUUACAAGAAAGCCGAGCAUAAAAAUUCUGAAUAAUGAUUUCUCUUGAGAUCUCAUGAUUGGGGAAUGAAUAUAACAUUGACUUAAGCCUCCCCCAAGCUUGAGCGAUACUUUCUCCUUCACGAGGCCAAAAAUUAUAAAUGUAAUUCUGAUCACGAUGAACCAGAUGCAUAGGAUAAAACUUUUGAUGAAAUUCCAAUUUCAAUCGACUGUAGUUCCAUGAUCCAAUAUCAUCACAUAGCCUAUACCAUGUCAAUGCCUUCUCCUUAAAAGAUAAAGGGAAGACCUUCUUCUUGACCUCAUCCUCGGGCAAACCAGCAAGCUUAAAUAAUCCACAAACUCCAUCCACAUAGAUUAGGUGCAUAUCAGGAUGUAAUGUUCCAUCUCCUGCAUAAGGAUUAGCCAGCAGUUUCUCUAUCAUACCCGAAGGAAUUUCAUAAUAAAUAUUUUCAGUAGGUUCAAUAGCUUGAGGGGAAACUCUUUUCUCUUCCUGUCGGGGUGAAGAUACCCCGAACAAAUCCCUCAAAGGAUUAUUUUCCAUAGCAACAAGUGACAGUAAAUUUCAGCACACUAUAUAAAUGUUUCCUUACCAAAUUCCACUUACCAAAGGCGCUGCACUCCCUGGCAACGGCGCCAUAAAAGAGUCUUGAUGACCCACAACUAUAGGGGAUCUAUCGUAGGCCUUUUGAUAAGUAAGAGUGUCAAACCCAACGAGGAGCAGAAGGAAAUGACAAGUGGUUUUCAACAAGGUAUUCUCUGCAAGUACUGAAAUUAUCGGUAACAUAUAGUUUUGUGGUAAGAUAAUUCGUAACAGGUAACAAGUAACAAAAGUAACCAGGGUGCAGCAAGGUGGACCAAUCCUUUUUGUAUCAAAGGACAAGCCUGGACGAACUCUUAUAUAAAGCAAAGCGCUCCCGAGGACACAUGGGAAUUACUGUCAAGCUAGUUUUCAUCAUGCUCAUAUGAUUCACGUUCGUUACUUUGAUAAUUUGAUAUGUGGGUGGACCGGUGCUUGGGUGCUGCCCUUAAUUGGACAAGCCUCCCACUUAUGAUUAACCCCUCUCGCAAGCAUCCGCAACUACGAAAGAAGAAUUAAGAUAAAUCUAACCAUAGCAUUAAACAUAUGGAUCCAAAUCAGCCCCUUACGAAGCAACACAUAAACUAGGGUUUAAGCUUCUAUCACUCUAGCAACCCAUCAUCUACUUAUUAUUUCCAAAUGCCUUCCCCUAGGCCCAAAUCAUGGUGAAGUGUCAUGUAGUCGACGUUCACAUAACACCACUAGAGGAGAGACAACAUACAUCUCAUGAAAAUAUCAAACGAAUACCAAAUUCACAUGAUUACUUAUAACAAGACUUCUCCCAUGUACUCAGGAACAAACGUAACUACUCACAAAGCAUAUUCAUAUUCAUAAUCAGAGGAGUUUAAUUAUCAUUAAGGAUCUGAACAUAUGAUCUUCCACCGAAUAAACCAACUAGCAUCAACUACAAGGAGUAAUCAACACUACUAGCAACCCGCAGGUACCAAUAUGAGGUUUUGAAGCAAAGAUCGGAUACAAGAGAUGAACUAGGGUUUGGAGAGGAGAUGGUGCUGGUGAAGAUUUUGAGAUUGACCUCCUCUCAAUGAGAGGAUCGUUGGUGAUGACGAUGGCUUCGAUUUCCCCUCUGGGAGGGAAGUUUCCCCGGUAGAACAGCUCCACCGGAGCCCUAGAUUGGUUCUGCCCAGGUUCUGCCUCGAGACGGCGAUCAUCCCUAAAGCUUCCUCUUGAUUUUUUCCAGGUCAAAACACAUCAUAUAGCAGAAGAUGGGCAUUGGGGGCCUGCCAGGUGGGCCACAUGGCAGGGGGGCACGCCCAGGGGGGUAGGACGUCCCCCCACCCUUGUGGAUGCCUAGUGGAUCCCCUCUGGUAUUUUCUUCGCCCAAUAUUUUUUAUAUAUUCCAAAAUAAUUCUCAUAAAUUUUCAAGACUUUUGGAGUUGUGCAGAAGAGGUCUCUAGGAUCUGCUCCUUUCUAGUCUCUAGGAUUAAUCAUAGUCCUUUCGAUAAGUAAGAGUGUCAAACCCAAUGAGGACUGCUAUGACUUGAGCUUGCGUUGGUUUUCCUUGAAGAGGAAAGGGUGAUGCAGCAAAGUAGCGUAAGUAUUUCCCUUAGUUUUUGAGAAACAAGGUAUCAAUCCAGUAGGAGGCUCCUCAAAAGUCCCACGCACCUACACAAACAAACAAGAACCUCGCAACCAACACAAUAAAGGGGUUGUCAAUCCCUUCCCGGCCACUUGCGAAAGUGAGAUCUGAUAGAGAUAAUAUGAUAAGAUAAAUAUUUUUUGGUAUUUUUAUGAUAUAGAUUGGAAAAUAAAAGAUGCAAAUAAAAGUAGAUGGUAAACUUAUAUGAUAAAAGAUAGACCCGGGGGCCAUAGGUUUCACUAGUGGCUUCUCUCAAGAUAGCAUAAGUAUUACGGUGGGUGAACAAAUUACUGUCGAGCAAUUGAUAGAAAAGCGCAUAGUUAUGAGAUUAUCUAGGCAUGAUCAUGUAUAUAGGCAUCACGUCCAUGACAAGUAGACCGAAAUGAUUCUGCAUCUAAUACUAUUACUCCACACAUCGACUGACUCUUGCCUGCAUCUAGGGUAUUAAGUUCAUGAAGAACAGAGUAACACAUUAAGAAAGAUGACAUGAUGUAGAGGGAUAAACUCAUGCAGUAUGAUAUAAACCCCAUCUUUUUAUCCUCGAUGGCAACAAUACAAUACGUGCCUUGCUGCCCCUGCUAUCACUGGGAAAGGACACCACAAGAUUGAACCCAAAGCUAAGCACUUCUCCCAUUGCAAGAAAGAUCAAUCUAGUGGGCCAAACCAAACUAAUAAUUCGAAGAGACUUGCAAAGAUAACUUAAUCACACAUAAAAGAAUUCAGAGGAGAUUCAAAUACUUCUCAUAGAUAAACUUGAUCAUAAACCCACAAUUCAUCGGAUAUCGACAAACACACCGCAAAAAGAGUUACAUCGAAUAGAUCUCCAAGAAGAUCGAGGAGAACUUUGUAUUGAGAAUCAAAGAGAGAGAAGAAGUCAUCUAGCUAAUAACUAUGGACCCGAAGGUCUGUGGUAAACUACUCACAACUCACGGGAGAGGCCUUGGAGAUGAUGUAGAGGCCCUCCAUUGUCGAUUCCCCCUCUGGCGGAGCACCGACGAAGGCUCCAAGAUGGGAUCUCACGGAUACAGAAGGUUGCGGCGGUGGAAUUAGGUUUUCGUGGUGCUCCUGGAUGUUUUCGGGGUACGUGGGUAUAUGUAGGAGGAAGAAGUAGGUCGGUGGACACUCGAGGGGCCCACGAGGGUGGGGGCGCGCCGGGCACCCUCGUGGUCGCCUCGUCUGUUCCUUGACUUCCACUCCAAUUCACCUGGAUUGCGUUUGUUCCAAAAAGAUCGCUCCAGAAGGUUUCAUUCCGUUUUGACUCCGCUUGAUAUUCCUUUUCUUCGAAACACUAAAAUAGGCAAAAAAAACAGCAAUUCAGGCUGGGCCUCCGGUUAGUAGGUUAGUCCCAAAAAUGAUAUAAAAGUGUAAAGUAAAUCCCAUAAACAUCCAAAACGGGUAAUAUAAUAGCAUGGAACAAUAAAAAAUUAUAGAUACGUUGGAGACGUAUCAAGCAUCCCCAAGCUUAAUUCCUGCUCGUCCUCGAGUAGGUAAAUGAUAAAAACAGAAUUUUUGAUGUGGAAUGCUACCUAGCAUAAUUCUCAAUGUAAUUUUCUUUAUUGUGGCAUGAACGUUCAGAUCCAAAUGAUUCAAAAUACAAGUUCAUAUUGACAUAAGAAAUAGUAAUACUUCAAGCAUACUAAUCAAAGCAAUCAUGUCUUCUCAAAAUAACAUGGCUAAAGAAAGUUCAUCCGUACAAAAUCAUAUAGUUUGGUCAUGCUCCAGCUUCGUCACACGAGAAUGCUCUCAUCUUGCACACCCCCGAUGUCAAGCCAAGCAAUUGUUUCAUUCUUUAGCAAUAUCAAACUUUUUUCAACUUUCACGCAAUACAUGAGCGUGAGCCAUGGAUAUAGCACUAUGGGUGGAAUAGAAUAUGAUGAUGGAGGUUGUGUGGAGAAGACAAAAAAUAGGAAAGUCUCAUGUUAACGAGGCUAAUCAACAGGCUAUGGAGAUGCCCAUCAAUUGAUGUCAACAUGAGGAGUAGGGAUUGCCAUGCAACGGAUGCACUAGAGCUAUAAAUGUAUGAAAGCUCAACAAAAGAAACUACUGGGUGUGCAUCCAACUUGCUUGCUCACGAAGACCUAGGGCAUUUUGAGGAAGCCCAUUGUAGGAAUAUACAAGCCAAGUUCUAUAACAAAAAAUUCCCACUAGUAUAUGAAAGUGACAACAAAUGAGACCCUCUAUAUGAAGAACAUGGUGCUACUUUGAAGCACAAGUGUGAAAAAAAAUAGUAGCAUUGUCCCCCUUUUUUGGGACUUUCUUUUUUAUUUGUCCUUUCUCUUUUUUUUGUUUGGCCUUUCUCCUUUUUUAAGGGACAAUUCUCUAAUAAUGAUGACCAUCACACUUCAAUUUAUUUACAACUCAUGAGUUACAACUCAAAACUAGAACAAGAUAUGACUAUAUGAAUGCCUCCGGCGGUGUACCGGGAUGGGCAAUGAAUCAAGAGUGACAUGUAUGAAAAAUUAUGAAGGUGGCUUUGCCACAAUACGAUGUCAACUACAUGAUCAUGCAAGGCAAUAUGACAAUGAUGAUGCGUGUCAUGAUGAACGGAACGGUGGAAAGUUGCAUGGCAAUAUAUCACGGAAUGGCUAUGGAAAUGCCAUAAUAGGUAGGUAUGGUGGCUGUUUUGAGGAAGAUAUAAGGAGGUUUAUGUGUGACAGAGCAUAUCGUAUCACGGGGUUUGGAUGCACCGGCGAAGUUUGCACCAACUCUCAAGGUGAGAAAGGGCAAUGCACGGUACCGAAGAGGCUAGCAAUGAUGGAAAGGUAAAAGUGCGUAUAAUCCAUGGACUCAACAUUAGUCAUAAAGAACUCAUAUACUUAUUGCAAAAAUCUACAAUUCAUCAAAAACCAAGCACUACGCGCAUGCUCCUAGGGGUAUAGAUUGGUAGGAAAAGACCAUCGCUCGUCCCCGACCGCCACUCAUAAGGAUGAAAAUCUAAGAACACCUCAUAUUUCAAAUUUGUUACACAACGGUUACCAUACGUGCAUGCUACGGGACUUGCCAACUUCAACACAAGCAUUCUUUAAAUUCACAAUUACCCAACUAGCAUGACUCUAAUAUCACCACCUCCAUAUCUCAAAACAAUUAUCAAGUAUCAAAUUGAUCAUAGCAUCCAAUUCACUUCCUAUGAUAGUUUUUAUUAUACCCAACUUGGAUGCCCAUCAUUCUAGGACCAAUUUUAUAACCAUAGCAAAUACCAUGCUGUUCUAAAAGACUCAAAAAUAAUAUAAGUGAAGCAUGAGAGAUCAAUAACUUCUACAAAAUUAAACCACCACUGUGCUCUAAAAGGUAUAAGUGAAGCACUAGAGCAAAACUAUCUAGCUCAAAAGAUAUAAGUGAAGCACAUAGAGUAUUCUAAUGAAUUCCAAAUCAUGUGGGUUUCUCCCAAAAGGUGUGUACAGCAAGGAUGAUUGUGGUAAACUAAAAAGCAAAGACUAAUAUCAUACAAGACGCUCCAAGCAAAACACAUAUCAUGUGGCGAAUAAAAGUAUAGCUCCAAGUAAAGUUACCGACAGACAAAGACGAAAGAGGGGAUGCCUUCCGGGGCAUCCCCAAGCUUAGGCUUUUUGUUAUUCUUGAAUAUCUUGGGGUGUCAUGGGCAUCCCCAAGAUUAGGUUCUUUCCACUCCUUAUUCCAUAGCCCAUCAAAUCUUUACCCAAAACUUGAAAACUUCACAACACAAAACUCCACAGGAAAUCUCAUAAGCUUCGUUAGUGCAAGAAAGAAAAACCACCACAUAAGGUACUGUAAUGAACUCAUUCUUUAUUUAUAUUGGUGUUAAACCUACUGUAUUCCAACUUCUAUAUGGUUCAUACCCACCGAUACUAGCCAUAGAUGCAUCAAAAUAAGCAAAGAACACACGAAAAACAGAAUCUCUCAAAAACAGAACAGUCUGUAGCAAUCUGUAACUUUUGAAUACUCUAAAAAUCCUACCAAAAUAGGAGGUCCUGUGAAAUUUGUCUAUAGAUCUACCGAAAAAAGAAUCAACUCAAAAUCACGUUUCUGUGAAUUACUAAAAUUAUUUUCGUGCACGCAAAAGUUUCUGUUUUUCAGCAGAAUCAAAUUAACUACCACCGUAGGUUAUCCUAUAGGUUCUACUUGGCACAAACACUAAUUAAAACAUGAAAACACAUCUAAACAGAAGCUAGAUGAAAUAUUUAUUACUAAACAGAAGCAAAAAGUAAGAAACAAAAAUAAAAUUGGGUUGCCUCCCAACUAGCGCUAUCGUUUAACGCCCCUAGCUAGGCAUAAAAGCGAGGAUAGAUCUAAGUAGUACCAUCUUUGGCAUUCAAUUCAUAAGUAGCUCACGUGAUAGAUUCAUAAGGUAAUUUAAAUUUCUUUCUUGGAAAGUGUUCCAUGCCUUUCCUUAAUGGAAAUUGGAAUCUAAUAUUCCCUUCCUUCAUAUCAAUAAUUGCACCAAUCGUUCUAAGGAAAGGUCUACCAAGAAUAAUAGGACAUGAAAUAUUGCAAUCUAUAUCAAGAACAAUAAAAUCUAUGGGCACAUAAUACCUAUUUGCAAAAAUAAGGACAUCAUUGAUCCUUCCCAUAGGUUUCUUAAUGGUGGAAUCCGCAAGGUGCAAAUUUAAAGAGCAAUCAUCAAAAUCAUGAAAACCUAGCACAUCACAUAAAGUUUUUGGAAUCGUGGAAACACUAGCACCCAAAUCACAUAAAGCAUACCACUCAUCAUCUUUAAUUUUAAUCUUUAUAGUAGGUUCCCACUCAUCAUAAAGUUUUCUAGGCAUAGAAACUUCCAAAUUAAGUUUUUCCUCAUAAGAUUGCAUCAAGGCAUCAACAAUAUGUUUGGUAAAAGCUUUAUUUUGACUAUAAGCAUGAGGAGAAUUCAACACGGAUUGCAACAAGGAAAUACAAUCUAUUAAAGAACAAUUAUCAUAAUCAAAUUCCUUGAAAUCCAAGAUAGUGGGUUCAAUGCUAUUUAAAGUCUUGACCUCUCCAAUCCCACUUUUACCAAAUUUAGCAUCAAGAUCUAAAAACUCUGAAUCAUUGGGACGCCUUUUAACUAAAGUUGACUCAUCUCCAGUCCCAUCAUUAUUAAGAUUCAUAUUGCAAAACAAGGAUUUAAUAGGGGACACAUCAAUAACUUUUAGAUUUUCAUCAUUAUUUUCAUGGAAACUAGAAGAACACGCUUUUACAAAGCAAUCUUUCUUAGCACGCAACCUAGCGGUUCUUUCUUUGCACUCAUCAAUGGAAAUUCUCAUGGCUUUGAGAGACUCAUUGAUAUCAUGAUUAGGAGGAGUAGAUCUAAGUUUCAAAGAAUCAACAUCAAGCGAAAGCCUAUCAACGUUCCUAGCCAAAUCAUCAACUUUAAGCAAUUUUUCUUCAAGCAAAGCAUUAAAAUUCUUUUGAGAGAUCAUAAAUUCUUUAACACUAUUCUCAAAAUCAGAGGGCAUCUUAUUAAAAUUUCCAUAAAAAUUAUUGUAGGAAUUUCCAUAAUUAUUAGAGGAAUUGCUAGGGAACGGUCUAGGAUUAAAGUUUCCUCUAUAAGCAUUGUUACCAAAAUUAUUCCUACCAACAAAAUUCACAUCCAUGGAUUCAUUAUUAUUCUCAAUCAAAGUAGACAAAGGCAUAUCAUUAGGAUCAAAAGGAGCACUCUUAGUAGCAAACAAUUUCAUAAGUUCAUCCAUCCUUCCACUCAAAACAUUAAUUUCUUCUAUAGCAUGCACUUUUUUACUAGUAGAUCUUUCGGUGUGCCAUUGAGAAUAAUUAGCCAUAAUGUUAUCAAGGAGUUUAGUAGCUUCUCCUAAGGUGAUUUCCAUAAAAGUGCCUCCCGCGGCCGAAUGUAAAAGAUUUCUAGAAGCAAAAUUCAAUUUGGCAUAAAAUUUUUGUAUGAUCAUCCAUAAAUUCAAACCAUGAGUAGGGCAAUUACGAAUCAUUAGUUUCAUUCUUUCCCAAGAUUGGGCAACAUGCUCAUGAUCAAGUUGUUUAAAAUUCAUAAUAUCAUUCCUAAGAGAGAUGAUCUUAGCGGGAGGAAAAUACUUAGAGAUAAAAGCAUCUUUGCACUUAUUCCAUGAAUCAAUACUAUUCUUAGGCAAAGACAAAAACCAAGUUUUAGGACGAUCUCUAAGUGAAAACGGAAAUAACUUCAAUUUAACAAUAUCAUUAUCCGUAUCUUUCUUCUUUUGCAUCUCACACAAAUCAACAAAGUUGUUUAGAUGGGUAGCGGCAUCUUCACUAGGAAGGCCGGGGAAUUGAUCUUUCAUAACAAGAUUCAGCAAAGCAGCAUUGAUUUCACAAGACUCAACAUCAUUAAGAGGAGCAAUCGGAGUGCUAAGGAAAUCAUUAUUAUUGGUAUUGGAAAAGUCACACAAUUUGGUAUUAUCUUGCACCAUCAUGACAAGCAAUCCAACACACAAGCAAACAAAAAGGCACGCGAGAGAGAAGACGAACAGGAAAGAGAGGGCGAAUAAAAUGGCAAGGGUGAAGUGGGGGAGAGGAAAACGAGAGGCAAAUGGCAAAUAAUGUAAUGCGAGGGACAUGAGUUUGUGAUGGGUAAUUGGUAUGUCUUGACUUGAGCAAAGACCUCCCCAGCAACGGCGCCAGAAAUCCUUCUUGCUACGUCUUGAGCUUGCGUUGGUUUUCCUUGAAGAGGAAAGGGUGAUGCAGCAAAGUAGCGUAAGUAUUUCCCUUAGUUUUUGAGAACCAAGGUAUCAAUCCAGUAGGAGGCUCCUCAAAAGUCUCACACACCUACACAAACAAACAAGAACCUCGCAACCAACACAAUAAAGGGGUUGUCAAUCCCUUCACGGCCACUUGCGAAAGUGAGAUCUGGUAGAGAUAAUAUGAUAAGAUAAAUAUUUUUGGUAUUUUUAUGAUAUAGAUUGGAAAAUAAAAGAUGCAAAUAAAAGUAGAUGGCAAACUUAUAUGAUAAAAGAUAGACCCGGGGGCCAUAGGUUUCACUAGUGGCUUCUCUCAAGAUAGCAUAAGUAUUACGGUGGGUGCACAAAUUACUGUCAAGCAAUUGAUAGAAAAGCGCAUAAUUAUGAGAAUAUCUAGGCAUGAUCAUGUAUAUAGGCAUCACGUCCGUGACAAGUAGACCGAAACGAUUCUGCAUCUACUACUAUUACUCCACACAUUGACCGACUCCUGCCUGCAUCUAGAGUAUUAAGUUCAUGAAGAACAGAGUAACGCGUUAAGAAAGAUGACAUGAUGUAGAGGGGUAAAGUCAUGCAAUAUGAUAUAAACCCCAUCUUUUUAUCCUCGAUGGCAACAAUACAAUACGUGCCUUGCUGCCCCUGCUGUCACUCGGAAAGGAUACCGCAAGAUUGAACGCAAAGAUAAGCACUUCUCCCAUUGCAAGAAAGAUCAAUCUAAUAGGCCAAACCAAAUUGAUAAUUCAAAGAGACUUGCAAAGAUAACUUAAUCACACAUAAAAGAAUUCAGAGGAGAUUCAAAUACUUCUCAUAGAUAAACUUGAUCAUAAACCCACAAUUCAUCGGAUCUCGACAAACACAUCGCAAAAAGAGUUACAUCGAAUAGAUCUCCAAGAAGAUCGAGGAGAACUUUGUAUUGAGAAUCAAAGAGAGAGAAGAAGCCAUCUAGAUAAUAACUAUGGACCCGAAGGUCUAUGAUAAACUACUCACAACUCAUCGGAGAGGCCUUGGAGAUGAUGUAGAGGCCGUCCAUGGUCGAUUCCCCCUCCGGCAGAGCUCCGGCGAAGGCUCCAAGAUGGGAUCUCGCGGAUACAGAAGGUUGCGGCGGUGGAAUUAGGUUUUCGUGGUGCUCCUGGAUGUUUUCGGGGUACGUGGGUAUAUAUAGGAGGAAGAAGUAGGUCGGUGGACGCUCGAGGGGCCCAUGAGGGUGGGGGGCGCGCCGGGCACCCUCGUGGCCGCCUCGUCUUUUGCUUGACUUCCACUCCAAGUCCCCUGGAUUGCGUUUGUUCCAAAAAGAUCGCUCCCGAAGGUUUCAUUCCGUUUGGACUCCGUUUGAUAUUCCUUUUCUUGGAAACACUGUAAUAGGCAAAAAAACAGCAAUUCGGGCUGGGCCUUCGGUUAGUAGGUUAGUCCCAAAAAAUGAUAUAAAAGUGUAAAGUAAAGCCCAUAAACAUCCAAAACGGGUAAUAUAAUAGCAUGGAACAUUCAAAAAUUAUAGAUACGUUGGAGACGUAUCAAGGAGCAAAAGGAAAUGACAACUGGUUUUCAGCAAGGUAUUAACUACAAGCACUGAAAUAAUUGGUAACAAGUUGUUUGAUAGCAAGAUAAUUUGUAACAAGCAAGUAACGGUAACGGUAACGAAAAUGCAGCAAGGUAGCCCAAUCCUUUUGAGGCAAAUGACAGGCCAAAACGGUCUCUUAUGAUAAGAAAAACAUUCUUGAGGGCACACGGGAAUUUCAUCUAGUAUCUUUCAUCAUCUUGGUUUGAUUCGUGUUCGCUACUUUGAUAAUUUGAUAUGUGGAUGGACCGGUGCUUAGGUGUUGUUCUUACUUGAACAAACCUCCUACUUAUGAUUAACCCCCUCGCAAGCAUCUGGAACUACGAGAAAUGUACUAAGAUAAAAUCUAACUAUAGCAUUAAACUUUUGGAUCCAAGUUAGCCCCUUACGAAGUAGCGCAUAAACUAGGGUUUAAGCUUCUGUCACUCUCGCAACACAUCAUCUAAUAACUACUCCCCCCGUUCCAAAUUACUCGUCAUGGUUUUAGUUCAAAUUUGAACUAAAACCACGAUGAGUAAUUUGGAACGAAGGGAGUACUCCACAAUUCAUUACCUUGGGCCCUAUAAGUUGAAGUUCCAUGUAGUCGACGUUCACAUGACAGCACUAAGGGAAUCAUAACAUAUAUACAUAUCAUCAAAAUAUCGAACACAUAUCAAGUUCACAUGAUUACUUGCAACAAGAUUUCUCCUGUGACCUCAAGAACAAAAGUAACUACUCACAAAUGAUAAUCAUGCUCAAGAUCAGAGGGGUAUUAAAUAACAUAAUGGAUCUGAAUAUAUAAUCUUCCACCAAAUAAACCAUAUAACUACAAGAUGUAAUCAACACUACUAGUCACCCACAAGUACCAAUCUAAGGUUCCGGUACAAAGAUUGAACACAAGAGAUGAACUAGGGUUUGAGAGGAGAUGGUGUUGUUGAAGUUAUUGAUGGAGAUUGCCCUCCCAAAGAUGGGAGAGUUGUUGGUGAUGAUGUUGACGACGAUUUCCUCCUCCGGGAGGGAACUUCCCCCCGGCGGAAUCGCUUCGCCGGAGGGAAAAAGUGCUCCUGCCCAAGUUCCUUCUUGAGACGGUGGAGCUUUGUCCCGAAAGUCCUCUCCUUAUUUCUUCUAGGUCCAAAUGACUUACAUAUCAUAAGAAGGGCACCGGAGGUGGGCCGAGGAGAGCAUAACCCACUAGGGCGCGCUUGGGGGCCCUAGCGCGCCCAGGUGGGUUGUGCCCACCUGGUGGGCCCCCUCUGGUAGUUAUUUGCUCCAAUAAUUCUUAUAUACUCCAUAAAAAAUCUUCGUGAAGUUUCAACUCAUUUGGAGUUGUGCAGAAUAGGUAAUUAACUCUGACGUAGCAUUUUCAGGUCCAGAAUUCCAACUGCCGGCAUUCUCCCUCUUUGUGUGAACCUUGCAUAUUAUGAGAGAAAAUGCAUUAGAAUUACUUCAUAAAGCAUUAUUAUGCAUAAAAAACAUUAUAAAUAAUAGUAGGAAAACAUGAUGCAAAAUGGACGUAUCAACUCGCCAAGCUUAGACCUCGCUUGCUCUCAAGUGAAACCCGAAAUUGAAAAACAUGUCCACAUGCUUAGAGAGAGAGGAAUCGAUAAAUACAAAAUACGGACAUAGAAGCAUCAUGUAUAUUAUUAUAACUGCAACAAACUUUAUUACAGAACUUUUAGCAUAUAACUUCUCAUGAACAAGUAACAAUUCAUUACAACAUCAAAGUAUAAAGCAUAAACCUUAUUGAAAACCAACAAACUAUGUUCUCAGUAAACUUUGCAACUACAAUUCAUCAUCUCUUUAGGAAGGGUCACAUAUCGGAGCCUUUUGGCAAGUCCACAUACUCAACCAUCAUAUAGUCUUCUAUGAUUGCUAACACUCACCGCAUACACAUGAGAAAAAAGUUUCAACCAGACACAUAGAAAGAUAGGGGCGUAUAGUUUCGCCUCCCAACGUAUUCACCUCAAGGGUGAUGUCAACAAUAAUAACUCAUGCCCACCCAUAUCCAACUGGAUGUAUGUGCCUAGAUCUUUCCUCACCACAUGGGGUUGCCAAAAGAGAAAAUAAAAAGGAAUAGAGAGAAAUACUUUUACUCUUGCAUAAAAGUAAAUACAUAAAAGUAAAAGAUAAGCCCUUCACAGAGGGAAGCAGUGGUUGCCAUGCGCUUUUUGGUUGUAUGCUCAAUCUCUUAAUGCAAAAGAACGUCAUGUUAUAUUGCCCUUGUGAUAGCAACCUUUAUUAUGCAGUCUGUCGUCUUUAUUAUUUUGCCAUCACAAGUUUGUACAAUGCUAAAUUUGCUCUAACACUAAAUGAUCCAACACAUUUAGAAGCAAUUUUUAUUGCCCUUUUUUGCACCGAUGACAACUUACUUGAGGAUCUUACUCAAUCCAUAGGUAGGUAUGGUGGACUCUCAAAACAAGAUUUGAGUUUAAGGGUUUUUGGAUGCACAAGUAGUAUCUCUACUUAGUGCGGAAUUUUGGCUAGCAAAGAUACGGGGCAAGAACCACAUGUUAAAGGAUCUAUGACAAUAUAACUUCUAUGUGAAUAUGAACAAACAUAAAUCAUUAUGUUGUCUUCCUUGUCCAACGUCAACAAUUUCGUCAUAUAGUAUUUUGAUGGGGGCUCGCAAUCAUAAAAGAUGUCCAAGAUAGUGUAUUUGCAUGUCAAUCUUCUCUUCCCUUAUUAAUUCUUUCAUGAAUUGCAUCAUUGACCAAUGAUAUGUUUGUCAAUAUCCUUUCUUUUUCUAGGUGAAAAUGACUUAUAUACUAGAAGAAGGGCACCGGAGCUGGGCCAAGGAGGGCACAACUCACCAGGGUGUGCCUAGGGGCCCUGGCGCGCCUAGGUGGGUUGUGCCCACCUGGUGGGCCCUCUUUGGUAGUUAUUUGGUCCAGUAAUUCUUAUAUAUUUCAUCAAAAAUCUCCGUGAAGUUUCAACUCAUUUGGAGAUGUGCAGAAUAGGUAACUUUGACGUAGCUUUUUCAGGUAUAGAAUUCCAGCUGCCGGCAUUCUCCCUCUUUGUGUGAACCUUGCAUAUUAUGAGAGAAAGGCAUUAGAAUUACUUCAUAAAGCAUUAUUAUGCAUAACAACAUUAUAUACAAUAGUAGGAAAACAUGAUGCAAAAUGGAUGUAUUAUGCGCCUCAGCGGAGUAAGAUGUGGAGGCCCCGCGACCUUGCUACCAUUGAGUGCAUGUUGUAAUUCUAGCUAUUCAUAGAUAGUUCCGUGUGCCUUCUAUGCCUAUGGUAUCAAAUUAAAAUUCCUAGUGAAUAGAAAAGCAACAAAUAAGACACUAGAUGUGAUUCAAAUCCCUAUGGAGAACAGAGAAGCCUUACUCCUUAUAAAAGAAUUGUGUGGAAGGCUUGUUCCUUAUAAACAGUUGUGCGGUAGACAGUGGCUUGAACUCAUCAGUCCUCUCGUAGGUCAAUGGCUAACAACCCUUUGGUUAUGAACUGGGUCCUCUGGUUGGUCAGUUGCUUUGAGCUUUAUAAAUCUUUUAAACCAAAUAAUGAAUGUCCUUGCCUUUUUCUUUUUCCAAAAGGACUAAUUUUAUUAAUCUUCCAAACCUCUACUUCAAGACGAUGCACCUAUUUAUUUCUUACAAAGUUCACAAAAAAUAAAUCGCAACUUUCUAUCGUCAAAGAGGAAACACCAGCUUAAGUAGAACCAACAUAUCAUAGAAACAAUCAUGCGGUGAUUCACAUGAAGGAUUCAUUUAAAUUUAGUGCAUCAGCUAGUUUGCACCAGAGGUGAAUGUUAUGCUAAUCAAGUCUCAGUCGACUGAUACUUUGCUAAGUCUCAGUCAAUGCUAUAUCCGUGAGAUCUUACAUUGAGAUCCAUGCAAAAAAAUUCUUCAGUUUUUUCUUUUUCUCUCUUGCAUGGUAUGUCACUUGACUAAGACUUGGUUAAAUCCCAGACCACUGAGACCUAGCCACACCUUCAAACUAUGCUGGGAAUGAGGUUGAAUACAACAACCCCAAGCAUCUCAUUACGAAAGAGGUGGUAUUCCUAAAUCUGAUGAUGUCAAAGACAUGAAGCCUAUCAAUGAAAAUGUUCUGAUCAAGGUAUUUAUAUCGAAUGUCAUGCCAUUAUCAGUAGUGUAUAUUUAAAGAAUUUCCAGCCAAUCUUGUACUGGUUGAAUGAGCAUAACGCUUAAUAGUCUUAUCUGUCUUGCAUUUGUGCUAGGUUGCAGAAGCUUCAGAUAAGACAGAAGUUGGCCUUAUCCUCACCGAGAAAACCAAGGAGAAGCCAUCCAUUGGAAUACUAUUAGAAUCAUGUUGGACAAAAUCAUGUUGGAUCCUACAGACUUCUUCCCUAGAGUGGGCUAAAAAGUAAGUAAAUCUGUAGGACUUGGUCUGCAGCAAAAUCUGUAAGAUCUGGUCUCCAGGCAAGCAAAUCCAUAGGAUCUGGUCUGCAGAGAAGCAAGUUUGAAAGAUCUAGUCUGCAAUAUGCUCACAGACAUCUUCCUGCGAGAGGGCUAAAACUUUUUUGUUGGUAAUGUAGGACCAAUGCUUCUGGUCAUGUAGGACUGGUUUUUAGCAGAGAAAUGGGACCGAGCUGGGUUUUUUUGGAGCAGCGGAGUAAGAGGAUAAGGUGCAAUGCAAAGAAUGAGCGGGAUAGAUAGCAGCCUUGCUACGAGAUAUUGUGCAUGUUAUACUUCCAUCUAUUCAUGGAUAAUUCCUGAUACCUUCUAUGCCUAUACUACCAAACUCAAAUCCCUAGUGAAUAAAGAAGCAACAAAUAGUGCACUAAUUCGGAUUCUAGAAUAUAAGUAAAAUGUGGACUCAGUUAUUUCUAAGGGAAGCCUUGCUCCUUGUAAAAGAGUUGUGUGUACUUGCUCCCAGUCGUGGGACAGACAGUGGCAUGAAGUCAUUAGUCAAUAUCUAAGAAUCUUUUGGUUAUACGAACUUGUCCUUUGGUUGGUGAGCUGCUAUGAAUUUUAUGGAUCUUGUAAGCAGAUGAAAAAAUCCCUUGCUCUUUUUCAAAAGGUUUAAUUUAUUAACCUGUCAACCUCUACAUUAAGACUAUGCACCUAAACAACAAACAAUUUACUUAUCUAUUACAAAGUUCAUGGAAAUAGAGCCCAACAUUCUAUAGUCAAAGUGAAAACACCAGCUUAGAAUCAACAUCGCUUGGAAACUUAUCAUGUGGCAAUCACAACAACGCUAAUUCGAGCACAACUUCGGAUUCGUAUUGGUGAGGUAAAAACCGCUUCGCUCCCAAAUGAUCUUAUGGCGAUCCGAGAGGCGAAAAGUUAUGCCCCUCUCUUCCAGGUCAAUAGCUCAUGUGCGACAUCUUUGCGGUGCAAUGGAAGGAGUGUGACAUAGUUGACGAAAAUAGCUCUGGUGCUACGUUUCAGAAGCCCAAAUAGCCACAGCCCACUCGGGCGAUUAAACUGGUCAUCAACAGGAGUGAGGUUAUGUUUAAGACAUGUGGGUCCCAUGUGGUAGUGCAUCAAGUGAAAUGUAUCCCCGUGCCUGUCUGAACAUGUACCCCUGUCUGAAUCCCACCCCCUCCUUUUCGUUCUCGGCGGUGAGCCAGCGACGGUGUCGGAGAUUUUGUUCUCGGUGAUAGUAGCGCGGAGCUUUCAUUCUCAGCGACGGCGGAGGCUAUGGUGAGUGAAUCCGGAACCCUGUCCCAUUCCCCCCCGUUCCCCUCCGUGUCGAGCUAGAUCUCACUGCAUCGCCUCUGUUUUUGGGGUUUUUGGUCGAUUUGAUCCAGAUUUGGGUGGGUGGGAGGGGGCUAGCCGCGAUAGAGCCACCAGAGACAACAACAUCGACUAGGUAAUCCCCUAAUGUGCAUCGAUUUGUGCCUCAUCUGCUUUCGCUAGCUCACCUCACACUGCCCUGCCAUUGACAAACAGGGGGGAUGGUGCUUGGACGUUCGAAUUCAUUGUGGAAUUCCUUCCUUCUAAGGCGAAGCUAGGUGAUGGUAGCAUGCCGGACAUAGAGAGAGAUGCAAUUGUGAAGUGGGAGACUGAUUUUGCAUAGAUUGAUCCACAAGAACUACAGAGCAUGGAAGAGAAGGCCAUGAAGAAUGUGGUGGUAAAAAUUGGGGAGAGCAUUUUUUGGGGUCCAGAGCAAGAGGUAGCAUAUUUACGGUUUGAUAAUUGGAAAGGAGAGUAUGUGAAAAUUGAGGAUGGUGCAGAGAUGGUUGAUGAAAUCGAUCGACAAGAUGGCUGGACAACCAAACUAUGUUUCAUGCAGAGCUUGUUGAUCUGAAAUCAGAUUCUAAGGUUGGAUAUGUGCCCUCAAAGUUAGCUUCACAGAUGGUAGAUGAUGAUUGGGCUUCAGAGAGGUAGCUAAUGCCCAUUUGUAUAGGUGAAGUGAUAGUAUUACUUGAGGGGGUGAUGCAGAAGAGGGCUUUGAUGGUGUUGCAAGGGUUGUUUCUGUUGAUUGGAAUUCAGUAGAAUUAAAUGACCCAACUGAUUUAGUCAUUGAACCAAUGGAUGACACUGAGAUGGCCAAAUUUUUUGGCAUUCCAGUAGCUGAUGAAGAUAAAGAGGAGAAGGAUGGUGAAUCUAGUAUGCCUACUGAUACUGAUGCUAAUAGAGAUAGAACUGAAGAUGUGUAUGGACAGCUGAUGGAAGAUGCUGCAGAUGAUGCACAUGAUGAUGAGUUGGUAAAUGUGUAUGACAAGGAAAACCUUGUUAUUGCAGUGGGGAAGUUGUUCCCAAACAUGGAUGAGUUUAGGAUGUGUUUCAAAACUUAUGCAGUCAAACGUGAGUUUGAUGCCAAGACUAAUUGGACUGAUAGAAAGAAGUUUUAUGCAAGAUGUAGAGGUUUUGAUGGAAGUGCCAAGCCUUGCAAGUGGUACAUAUCUGCUAGACGCCAACCUGAUGGAAGUACCAUUAGAGUGAAUCAAAUCCCACACCAGCAUACUUAUAUUACAAGUUCACAAAGAGUAUCAACCAUGACAUCACAAGUUUGGAUUGCAGAAAAGAUCACUCUAUUUUAGCCAAGAAACCAAACACUACUGCAAAGAAACUUAAAGUAGACUUGGAAAAGCAAUACCCCAUUAAGGUGAAGUAUAACACGGUGUGGAAGGCAAAACAAAGGGCAAUAAAACAGUUAUAUGGUGACUGGGAAAAUACUUUUAGGAUGCUUUAUAAUUUCAAAGCAGAGGUGGAGAAGAGGUCACCUGGCAGUGUUGUGGAGAUAGAUACUGAGGUAAUAGAGGAUGGAAGAGUCCUUUUCUCUAAGUUUUUUAUGGCUUUAAAGCCUUGCAUUGAUGGCUUCAAGGCAGUGUGUCGUCCAUAUUUGAGCAUAGACUCAUCAUUUUUUACUGGCAAGUGGAAUGGUCAAUUGGCAUCUUGCAUGCUUUGGAUGGACACAACUGGAUGUUCCCUGUUGCUAUUGGCUUAUUUCAGUCAGAGACAGAGGUCUCGUGGACAUGGUUCAUGAUGUAGUUGAAAAGAUGCAUAGGGCCAGUGUUACCUUUGGCAGUCCACACAGAUGCAUGCAAAAGGCUAGAAAAUGCAGUGAAGAAUGUAUUCUCCCAUUGUGAGCAGAGGGAGUGCUUCAACCAUAUGUGGAUGAAUUUGAUCAAAAAGUUCAGAGGGGAAGAAUUUGGUCGCAUGUGGCCAGCAACAAGAUCUUACACUAAACAGACACAUUCAUAUCAUCUUGGUAAGAUAAUGACAGCAUGCCCUGAGUUUGGUCCAUGGGUGAACACCUACCAUUCUCUAUUAUGGUAUAGGUCAGGAUUUUACACUGCUAUCAAAUGUUAUCAUAUCAACAACAACUUGGCAGAAAGUUUUAACAACAAGGUGAAGUAGUUAAAAAAAUUGCAUGUGCAUGACAUGGUUGACCAAAUCAAGAUCAUGAACAUGCGCUUGUGGGAAUUGAGAAGAAGGAUUGGUGAUUGUCUACAAGGGGAUAAGCUUCCUGUAGUGGUACAACAGGUGGUCAACAGGAGCAGAAAUCUUACACAUUUAUCUGUUGAAAAAUCUUCUGUGUUGGGUGCUGAAGUUAGAGAUACCAAAACAGGUAGAAGGCAUGUUGUUAACACUGAAAUGCAUGAUUGCACUUGUUUGGAGUGGCAACACAUUGGGAAACCAUGUGCAUGCCAUACUUUUCUUGGCCUCCUGGCCGAGGAUAAACAAGCACCCAUAUUUGCACGAAUAUUACUCAGUAGCAAGAUUCAAGGUUGCACAUGCAACUCCAAUUCUAGCACUUACAGAUCAGUCUCAGUGGCCUGAAGUGGGAAUUGAAUUUUCCAUGUGUCCUUCCCUAACAAAAAAAUGCUGGCAGGCCUAAAGAGACUAGAUUCAAGUCAUGGUUUGAGAAAGGUGGGAGUAGUAAAAAGGGCAAGGGAAAGAAGGAUGCAAAGCCAAAAAGGUCCAAAAAGGUAACAAAAAUAGAUGCAAGUUGUUCCAGGAACUUGGGCACUGAGUUGGAUCUCCCAAAUGUUGUUACACUAAUGAAAGGCCAAAGUAUGUGGGCAUAUGUUUGCAUUGUUUACUAUUUUGUUGCAUUUUUCAAUUACUAACCAGUUGACAUGCUUUAUAUUUUUAGGAGGAAGCGUGCAGGUGAGCUCCUUGUUGUUGAAGAGUGUUGGCCAAAGAAAAAGGCAAGAGGCAAUGGUUGUAGAAGAAAGAGAAGUUUGGUGAAACAAUACACAUUCAACCAGACUUGGAUGGUGUGGUACAAAAUGAGCAAGACUUGGAUGUGCUGUUGUAAGAUGAGCAAGAUUUUGAUGUUUUAGUGCCAACUGAAGAUAUGGGUACCUCUGAAGAUAUUCCAGCUGAUGUUGUGCAAGCUGAGCCUAUGUUGGAAGUUGAGUUGCCAACUGAAGAUAUUCCAGCUGAUGUGGUGCCAACUGAGCCUAUAUUGGAAGUUGUGUUGCCAACUGGUGAUAUUGGGUCCGAUGAUACUGCAACUGUUGUGGUGUGAAAUGAAGCUGCUGUUCCAGGCAGUCCAGUGAAGAAAAUCAAGACCUUGAGUGAACUGGGUGUUGUACAAUCAAAAACAAGCAUUGGUAAAAGAAAAAGAAGAGAUCGAGUGGUAGGAAGAAGCAGAAGUGAAAAUUUGUUGAAACUUGUGUAUUUCUACUAUGCUGUAGUAAUAAAACCUUGUCUGAAUUUGUGUAAUGGUAUUUUUACUUUGAUAUGAUGUGUAUUUGUGUAAUAAUAUUCAAGUUUGAGACAAAAUUCAAAUUUGAGCCAAAAUUGAAAUUUGAAGUUAUUUGGUAUGUGGUAUUGGUGUUACAAUGAUUUUUGGACUAUUAUGCAUGUUAGUUGAUUAAUCGGAGCACUUUUAUUAUGUGAAACUCUGGACAUGAAAAAUGUGCUCCACAUGAGCUCCAAAACCCCUCCAAACCUAGGGAAAACAGACCAUUUGUAAGCAAAUUUUUUUCGACCUUCUCUAAAUGAGCCAAAAAAGGAAACUUAACAUCUAGUGUGUGUGUGUAUAUAAGAGUCCUUCCUGAUAUUGGAUCGUUUCGAUCAAGUAUGACAUCUUUAACACUAAACCCUAGCUCACUUCUCUUCAAAACCCUACAACCUCGUUCUUGAUAGCCAUCUUUUGUGAAGGUUUUUUCAUGAAAAUAUCCAUAGUCAAAGUUUCUUAUUUUUCCUAGAUACAUAGCCACAUAGAGCGAUAAUCGACACAUGAUUUAUAUUUUUUCGAUUUUUUUGAAUUAGUUAUGAUCAACCCUAACUGUUGAAAACCUCUCAAAACCUCAUCUAAACCCCGCACUCCUCUGGGCCAUUGGAUCGCUGUGAAUGGACGGUCUAGAUCAGGCACUAGGGCUACGUCAGCGAUCCGCAGGCUGCACUCUGACUGGCUAAUUCAAGGAUGCUGAAUAUUAUAACACGCAACAUUCUGGACAAUUGGAUGGAUGUGAACAUAAGCAACGGUCUGGAUCAGGAGCCACGUCACAGAUCCAUGGGAUGUGCUUUGAUUGGCUGGUCAUUUUAGCCCAUUUUUUUAUGUUGGUUUUUUUGAGACAAAGACUGAGCAGGCCUGCCAUGUGUUGUUGGGCUUCAUUAAAGCGGCCCACCCGUUGGACCGAUGGACACCAUGCUGCAUUUGAGCAGGCCUGAAAAGCAUGCAUGCGCGCGCAGCCCUGCCGCGGCCGCCCUCGCAGCGUUCGACGUUGCAUGCAUGUCAUCGAGCACGCCCACAGACUCCCUCAUCACAUUAUGGCUAUUAUGCAUUCUACAUGGGUCACCCCUAGAUGCCCGACCAUCGCUAGCCGCUACAUGCAUGGCAUGGAGCUCAUCUCUCGACGCGUUUUUAAUUGCUAGAGUGCUACGCGGGGCGUUGGCAUUACUACCACAAUGCAUGCACGUGUACACAGGGGUUGGCUCGGGUGCGAUGCCACAUUUGCCCGUUUCACAUGCCAUUAUGAGGGAGAGGAAAACAAAACAUUGAAAUGGUGCACCUCAGCUAUUUAAGCACACCCAAGCCUACAUCUUCCUCUACAUCUUCCUCACACUCUCCUUCAUCUCCCAUCUUCACCACAAGUCGUCCGAGCCGUCCCAAGAUCCACUCGAAGCAAGCAAGAUGCAGUUUGUCGACGGGGCUACCUACUGUGUGCCGCCCACCUUCCCCGAGAGGCUCUACCCUGCUGGAGUCUGGGUGGAGAACACCCUACGAGUGUGGGCGAUCUCGAGGUGGAGGGGGCAAGGGGGCUGACCGAGUUCUUCCUUUCCUCCGGCUACCGCCACCUCCCGAGGGGCUCUCCAGUCAUGUUCUGAGUCGAACAGGUCAGUAACAAUGGCUAUCUUAUCAGGCUCAUCGUGAGGUUCACCAACCCCUUCGAUGCCUACUACCUCCUCGGCCAUGUUUUUUGGUGUGGAUGCGAGUUCAUUGCAUUCACCAUGUACAACAUCUUCACCGACUCCUAGAGCGCCUUCCACGCCGUCGAGCGCAUGCACACCCUCCCGUACCCCACCGAUGACGACGAGUGAAGGAGUUGGCCAUGGAGGAGAGGAGUUGGCCUUGGAGCAAGCAAGCAAGCCGGAUGUGUUUUAUCCUAUCUAGGGUGUUGUUUUAUUAUUGUCGUGUUGGGUUGAACUAUGAACUAUCUAUAUAUAUAUAUAUAUAAGUUGUAAGGGUACUAUGUAUGUCGUGCUUGGGUUUAUCUAUAUUAGUUGUAAUGUGGUACUAUCUAGCUCAUGCAAUGUUACUACUUAUUUUACUAUAUUGUGAUGUGUUCUAUCUGUUUUUUUCUAUCUAGUCAAUAUUGGUCAGUUGAUAUAUAUCGUGCUUGAUGUUCUAUCUAGUUGAUCUAUGUGUUACUAAUAAAAGGUAGAUUCCACUAUGGAUAUGCAAGUGUAUGGGUACCCAAAAAAAUCAUAUCUUGGUGUGCAUGUAUCUAGGCCCUGGCUAAUAGGGUCACCCUAGCAAGUAGGUCUAGGGUGCAAAUUUGUGUGCAACCAUGGACAUGCAACUAAUAUAGUUCAUGCAAAUAAUUAUUGGAUUAACUAAAAUGCCCAAAAGAAAUAUUUCAGUGCUCCUAAAAAUAUUGGUUUGAAUUUUACCUCUGGCCAAUAUUUUGAGAGCAAAACAGGAACAUUCUCUUGGACCUAUUUGAAGCGAAUUUUAACUUGUUCAUUUCCAAAAAUGAUUUAUGAGGCUUUCACAUAUCCCCAUUUAAUUUGGGUUUCAUGGAACCAUAAACAUGCAUAAAAAGAAUCACAAAACAAUAGUGGACAAGCAACAAAUAUGUAAAGAAAAAAAAGUAAAAUACGUACGGGCCAACAUUUAUUGGACAGAAAAAAAUGGCUACAUAAAAGAAGUAUAUGUUUGCUAAAGGUUUAUUUGCUGAAGCAACAUUUUAUUUUGAGGUUUUAGUCGAAGCAUUUUUUUAAACAUGGGUGCCUCUAUGCUAUAAAACUGGGUCGGUGCCCCUACGCGGGUGGGCUUGUCUCUAUCCGGCAACAAGCUUUUUUUACUAGAAACUGAUUUUUUUUGGGGGGGGGGUGGUGCACUCUGUUAACCGAAGAACAAGAACAGAGCACGUACACUGAAUAUUUCUGCUUCGAUUCAAUUACAUGAACUUGGCAUGGCGCACAUAUCGCAUCCUAUGCCCUGACAAACCUAAAUGCCCCCUCUAAUGACGGAUGAAUAGCAAGUAAAACAAAAACAGAUCAAUGACACAACAANNNNNNNNNNNNNNNNNNNNNNNNNNNNNNNNNNNNNNNNNNNNNNNNNNNNNNNNNNNNNNNNNNNNNNNNNNNNNNNNNNNNNNNNNNNNNNNNNNNNNNNNNNNNNNNNNNNNNNNNNNNNNNNNNNNNNNNNNNNNNNNNNNNNNNNNNNNNNNNNNNNNNNNNNNNNNNNNNNNNNNNNNNNNNNNNNNNNNNNNNNNNNNNNNNNNNNNNNNNNNNNNNNNNNNNNNNNNNNNNNNNNNNNNNNNNNNNNNNNNNNNNNNNNNNNNNNNNNNNNNNNNNNNNNNNNNNNNNNNNNNNNNNNNNNNNNNNNNNNNNNNNNNNNNNNNNNNNNNNNNNNNNNNNNNNNNNNNNNNNNNNNNNNNNNNNNNNNNNNNNNNNNNNNNNNNNNNNNNNNNNNNNNNNNNNCGAUCAUCUCCAUUUGAUUUUUCUUGAUCUUCUUCAGUUCCUCGGUCAGUUCAAAUUCCAAGUGCGGUUUAGCAUUGCGUGCAUACCUUGCCAUCGAAAUGACUCUGCCUGCCCCUUUGUCCGAGCUCCCCAAAUUCUCCAUCUGCGGCACCCCGCCCAAAUUAAGCUCCUAGGUUGCGGCCCCGCUCGAAUCACUGUAGCCCUCGAACUAAAUCCUCUCAACAUAAUCAACCAUUCACUCAAAAUGUGUGCAUUUCUUUAGGAUCUGAAAACAACAACAUGAACCCUAAAUUCAAAAUUCGAGGGAAAAAACAAAAUAUGGAGAAAUCAGAGCAAAUGGCAGUGAAAGAAUGGGCUAAGAACUGAGAUAUAACCUUGUCAUCCCUUCCUGCCAUUGUUUUGCUCAAGCACUUCACAAAUUCCCGCCCAAGAUUUCCAUUCUCAUCAGUCCUACUGACCCACCGUUUCAGAGGCUCUGGGCAUGGGCAGUCAGGGCACCUUGUGAGUGGCACAGGACCAUACCGACGCCAUUUUGAGUGCUUGGCGGAGGAGGUGGACAUCUGCACUAGGUCGCCGGAGAAGAGGAAGAAUGGGGAAAGGGUAAAAGCAAUGGGCGGCGGCAUGCCGACAGGCACGGGCGGAAUCUCUUCUAGCUGUGAAGAGGUGGGUCCCGUGCUAGUGGUGGGUACCACGCUUACAUGGAUAAGUUGUGGGUCCAGCCCAUAACAGCUAAUGAGGGCAUCAGUUCAUCUUAAGGGCUGAUACGUCUCCGUCGUAUCUACUUUUCCAAACACUUUUGCCCUUGUUUUGGACUCUAACUUGUAUGAUUUGAAUAGAACUAACCUGGACUGACGCUAUUUUCAGCAGAACUGCCAUGGUGUUGUUUUUUGUGCAGAAAAUAAAAAUUCUCAGAAUGUCGUGAAACUCCACGGAACACCUUAGAAAAAAUAAAGAAAAAUCCUUGCAAAAGAUGAAGACCAGGGGGCCCACACCCUGCACACGAGGGUGGGGGUGCCCCCUGGGUGCGCCCCCUACCUCGUGGGCCCCCUGGUGGCCCUCCAACGCCAACUCCAACUCCAUAUAUUGACUUUCGGGGAGAAAAAAUUAGAGAGAAGAAAUCAUCGCGUUUUACGAUACAGAGCCGCCGCCAAGCCCUAAUCUCUCUUGGGAGGGAUGAUCUGGAGUCCGUUCGGGGCUCCGGAGAGCGGGAUUCGUCGCUGUCGUCAUCAUCAACCAUCCUCCAUCACCAAUUUCAUGAUGCUCACCGCCGUGCGUGAGUAAUUGCAUCGUAGGCUUGCUGAACGGUGAUGGGUUGGAUGAGAUUUAUCAUGUAAUCGAGUUAGGUUUGUUAGGGUUUGAUCCCUAGUAUCCACUAUGUUCUGAGAUUGAUGUUGCUAUGACUUUGCUAUGCUUAAUGCUUGUCACUAGGGCCCGAGUGCCAUGAUUUCAGAUCUGAACCUAUUAUGUUUUCAUGAAUAUAUGUGUGUUCUAGAUCCUAUCUUGCAAGUCUAUAGUCACCUACUAUAUGUUAUGAUCCGGCAACCCCGAAGUGACAAUAAUCGGGACCACUCCCGGUGAUGACCAUAGUUUGAGGAGUUCAUGUAUUCACUAUGUGCUAAUGCUUUGUUCCGGUUCUCUAUUAAAAGGAGGCCUUAAUAUCCCUUAGUUUCCAAUAGGACCCCGCUGCCACGGGAGAGUAGGACAAAAGAUGUCAUGCAAGUUCUUUUUCAUAAGCACGUAUGACUAUAUACAGAAUACAUGCCUACAUUACAUUGAUGAAUUGGAGCUACUUCUAUGUCACCCUAUGUUAUGACUGCUACAUGAUGAACCACAUCCGGCAUAAUUAUCCAUCGUUGAUCCGGUGCCUACGAGUUUUCCAUAUACUGGUUCUCGCUUAUUUACUUUUCCGCCGCUACUGUUACAAUCACUACAAAAUACCCAAAAACAUUACUUUUUAUUGUCUUUACUUUUGUUACAGUUACCACUACUAUCAUAUUACUUUGCUACUAAACAACUUGUUGCAGAUACUAAGUUCCAGGUGUGGUUGAAUUGACAACUCAGCUGCUAAUACUUGAGAAUAUUCUUUGGCUCCCCUUGUGUCGAAUCAAUAAAUUUGGGUUGAAUACUCUACCCUCGAAAGCUGUUGCGAUCCCCUAUACUUGUGGGUUAUCAAGACUAAUUUCUGGCGCCAUUGCCGGGGAGCAUAGCUCUAUUCUUUGAGUCACUUGGGAUUUUAUCUGCUGGACACUAUGAAGAACUUGAAAGAUGAUCGAACUACUAUUUUUCCCUCAACUACAAGGGGAGGUAAGGGAUUGCCAUCUAGCCUUGCACUAGAUUCUCCUUCUGUUAUGAGUAAGUUUGCGACACCUAAUCCUACUACUGCUAUUAAUUCUGAUAUGUCGCAUGUUAUUGAUGAUGCCACUUCUGCUAUGCAUGAUACUUAUGAUGAAACUGCUUCUAUGCUUGAUACUACUGUGCCACUUGGUGAAUUACUUGAUGAGCAAAUUGCUAAGUCUAGAGAAAGAGAAAUUAUUGAACCCGGACAUGAUGAUGUGAGUGAUGAUGAACCUAUGCCUGCUAUUCCUGAGGGUUAUCUUUUUGAUGCAGAAUCUUCUGCAACUAUUUUCGCUUGCCAGGAUAGAUAUGAACUUAAGAGGUUGUUAGUUAAAUGGGGUAAAGAAUCUCUUAGAGAUAGAAUGAGACCCGACCCUACUUUUGCUACUUCACCUAUCUGUGUUCCUGAUCAGGACUAUUAUGAUUUUUCUAUUGAUCCAGAUAUAAUUACUUUGGUUGAAUCUGAUCCUUUUUAUGGCUAUGAAUCUAAAACUGUUGUGGCACAUCUUACUAAGUUAAAUGAUAUAGCUGCCCUGUUUACAAAUAAUGAGAGAUCACGCUACCUUUAUUUACUUAAGAUAUUUCUGUUCUCAUUAAAGGGUGAUGCUAAGAUAUGGUAUAACUCCCUUGAUCCUGGUUGUGUGCAAAGUCCCCAGGAUAUGAUUUAUUACUUCUCUGCUAAAUAUUUCCCCGCUCAUAAGAAACAAGCUGCUUUGAGGGAAAUAUACAAUUUUGUGCAAAUUGAAGAAGAGAGUCUCCCACAAGCUUGGGGGAGGCUUCUCAAGUUACUUAAUGCUUUGCCUGAUCAUCCUCUUAAAAAACCUGGAAUAUUUGAUAUCUUUUAUAAUGGACUAACUGAUGCUUCCAGAGAUUACCUGGAUAGUUGUGCUGGUUCUCUUUUCAGGGAAAGAACACCGAAUGACGCUGAAAUUCUUUUGAAUAAUAUGUUGGCAAAUGAAAAUAAUUGGGCACCUCCCGAGCUACCUCCUGAACCAGUUCCUGAACCAGUUACUGAGCCUAUUCCUAAACCGACUCCGAAGAAGAGAGGUGUUCUAUUUCUCAGUCCCGAAGAUAUGCAAGAGGCAAAGAAAUCUGUGAAAGAAAAAGGUAUUAAAGCUGAAGAUGUUAAGAAUUUACCUCCUAUUGAAGAAAUACAUGGUCUUAAUUUACUGCCUGUUGAAGAAGUAUAUGAUCUCAAUUACUUAUUUAAUGAAGAACCUCCCGAUAUCCCGACACAGGUAGUAAAGGUAAAUUCUCUCUAUAGAUAUGAUAAAGCUGAAGUCUCUCCUACUAAAAUUGCUAGUCAGUGCUUGGAUGAGUUUGAUGACUUUAUGUUUAAGCAAGAUGAUUUUAAUGCUUAUUUUGGUAGACAAUUAAAACAGAAUACCUUUAUGAUUAAACGCUUGGGUGACUAUAUGGCUGAUAUUAGAGGUGAACUUAAACUUGUUAGUAAGCAUGCUUCUAUGGUUACCACUCAAGUAGAACAAGUACUUAAAGCUCAGAGAGAAGUGCUUGAUGAAAUGAAUAGUAAGAAAAAUGAUUAUGCUGUUAGAGUGGCUACUAGAACUAGUAGAAUGACUCAGGAACCUUUGUAUCCUGAAGGCCACCCUAAGAGAAUCGAGCAAGAUUCUCAGAGAAACAAUAUUGAUAUACCUAGUUCCUCUAAAAGGAAGAAAAAGAAAAACGAUAGGACUUUGCAAACUUCUAGUGAACCUAUCGCCGAGUCACCUGAGAAUCCGAAUGAUAUCUCUAUUUCUGACGCUGAAACUCAAUCAGGUGAUGAACAUGAACCUAGUGAUAAUGCUAAUGAUAAUGUUCAUGUCGAUGCUCAACCUAGUAAUGAUAAUGAUGUAGAAGUUGAACCUGUUGUUGGUCUUGAUAACCCACAAUCAAAGAAUCAACGUUAUGAUAGAAGAGAUUUUGUUGCUAGGAAACAUGGUAAAGAAAAGGAACCAUGGGUUCAGAAACCCAUGCCUUUUCCUCCGAAACCAUCCAAGAAAAAGGAUGAUGAGGAUUUUGAGCGCUUUGCUGAAAUGAUUAGACCCAUCUUUUUGCGUAUGCGAUUGACUGAUGUGCUCAAAACAAAUCCUUAUUCUAAGUAUAUGAAAGAUAUUAUUACUAAUAAAAGAAAGAUACCUAAAGCUGAAAUUUCCACCAUGCUUGCUAAUUAUACUUUUAAGGGUGGAAUACCUAAGAAACUUGGAGAUCUCGGAGUGCCUACUAUACCAUGCUCCAUUAAAAGAAGUUAUGUUAAAACCGCUUUAUGUGAUCUUGGAGCCGGUGUUAGUGUUAUGCCUCUCUCUUUAUAUCGUAGACUUGACUUGAAUAAGUUGACACCUACUGAAAUAUCUUUGCAAAUGGCUGAUAAAUCAACUGCUAUACAUGUCGGUAUUUGUGAGGAUGUGCCUGUUGUGGUUGCAAACGUUACUAUUUUAACGGACUUUGUUAUUCUUGAUAUUCCCGAGGAUGAUAGUAUGUCUAUUAUUCUUGGAAGACCUUUCCUUAAUACUGCAGGGGCUGUUAUUGAUUGCACCAAAGGCAAUGUCACUUUUCAUGUUAAUGGCAAUGAGCACACGGUACAUUUUCCGAGGAAACAACCUCAAGUUUAUAGUAUCAACUCUAUUGGAAAAGUUCCAUCGAUUAUAUUUGGAGGUUUCGAAUUCCCUCUCCCUACUGUCAAGAAAAAGUAUGAUAUUCUUAUUGUUGGGGAUUUUCAUAUCCCCGUUGAGGUAACUUAGUGUUUUUCGAAAUUUCUCCGGUUCUGGGAUUAUUCGGAAUGAGUUUGUUAACAAGACUUGAUCAACCUUGUUAGUGGAUUCCUUUUGAUGAUCACGAGAUGGAUGAAACUAGAAGCACAACUUUGUGUACCCUCUUUAUAUUUUCUGUUAUUUAGUAGAAAUAAAGUAAAAUAAUAUUUUUCUGUCUGUUUCCCGACUUAUCCAUGCAAUAUAAAAAUAUCCCAAAAAUAGAAGUCCUUGAAAUGCCAUGCCAAUUUAAUAUGAUUUUUUCGGGAAUAUUUGAAAAUUUACUGUGCAAAAAUUACCACGGGGGGAGCUGCCACCUGGCCACGAGGGUGGAGGGCGCGCCCUACCCCCCUAUGCGCGCCCUCCUGCCUCGUGGGCCCACGAUGGCCCUCCUCCACUUAUUCCUGCACCCAUCUUCUUCCUCUGCCUCACACAAACACGACAAACCAACUCAAGCACGAGUUCCAGCCCCCGUUGCUAUGAUUUUCGAUCUCCUUGCUCAAAGCACCUUUCUCAAAACUGUUUGGGGAGAUUGUUCCUUGGUAUGUGACUCCUCCAUUGGUCCAAUCAGUUUUUGUUCUAGUGCUUUAUUCUUUGCAAAUUUGUGCUGCAUAGGUGACCAUGUUCUUGAGCUUGCAUGUCAAAUUUAUAUGGUUCCAAGUAGUUCCAAUGCUUUAUAUAGGCUCUAGGCACUUGUGGGAGUUGUUGCUAUCGAUUUUAUUGAAGUUGGUUCACUUUUAUUUGAAGUUACUAAAAAUUUCAGAUUGUUUCAGAAAUAAUGAAGAGACUUUUGAGGGGCUCAUCGAGUCGAAGCUCUAAGGAAAAACAAAAGGAAGAAGAGGAGAAACCCAAAUUUAAUUUACCUCGCACCGCGGAGGUCCAGCCUUGUGAAUGGUCCUCCGAUGACUUCUUGAGGAAAGCUGGGAUUUAUGAAAUUUUCUAUUUAUUGAUUGAGAAUGCUGGCCUCACCAACUUCCUCCACGACCAACGUCAUCAGUAUCUCUUACUCACAAAUACUUUUGUGCAAAACUUCUACUUUUUCCCUAAGAAAACACCUCCAAUAGUAGAGUUUCAUUUAUAUGACGUUAAAAAGAUGACAUUAGCAGAAUUCUGCGAGAUUUGCAGAAUACCCUUUGAGGGCACCUUAGAUGAACCUCACCGUAAAAAAAUAGAAGCUUUUGUUAACACCAUCACGGUGGGAGAAACCAGGAAGGUUUCUGAUGCAAGGAUCACUAGCAUCCAUUAUCCUGUUUUACACUACUUUGCCCUAUUUGCUAGAUGUUGCUUGAUUGGACGCGGGAACUGCGGGAACCUUAGUAUUCCUGAUAUUAUUAUUUUGCUCCAUGGUUUAUACCGCAAUAACUCUGUUAGUAUGGGUGGAAUUGUUGUUAGACGGUUAAGUUUGAACCACACUAAGGGCCCCAUCUUUGGAGGCAUUUAUGCUUCACGCCUAGCUGAACAUUUUGAAAUACCUAUUAGGCAUGAGGAGGAAGAAGAAACAGCGCUGCCCAGUGCUUAUUUAGAUUACAAGAGUAUGAUAGCGCAUGAUUUUCUUAUUAAGAGUCGCGAUGGGGAUCUCAAAUAUAAAUUGUACUUUGAUAAACAUCACCCUGAGACUAUUACCAUGCCUGCUCCUUCUUUGUUUAACUUGUUUGCAGAACCUCACAUCGUCCCAUGGUCGGCUGUUCAAGCCUAUCGGAAUCCUGCACCAGCCCCGGAGCCACAAGAUGAGCCUCCACGACUAUUAGUUUAUUCUUGGGAUCCAGAGGAGGUUGCCAGCUCAGGCGGCGAUAGCCGCUGCGUCACAAUACGACCCCAGCUUCACCUACGGAUAUCCGCCAGGCCAUCCCUGGAAAUAGACCAACUUAGGCCAAAAGCCUAAGCUUGGGGGAGUAGGUAUUUCCCACCGACAUUACAUUCAUGUUCACACUCAUUGCUAGACGUCGGUGCUCAUACUCUUUCAUUGUAUUAUCCAUGCUAGUUUAAAUUUCUUUUUCCUGCUUUCUUCUUGUGUGUUUGAUAAACCUUAAGAAAAAAAACCAAAAAAAUUAGUUAGUUUACUUUUCAUGCUUGUAGUAGAAUUAAAAAGAAAACCCAAAAAUAUUUCCCGUUCUUCUUUUACUUGUUGGGAGCUUUCCCGUGUAAAUAGUUUCUAUUUCUUUUCCUUUCUCUGGGGGUCGAGAAGACCAUAUUGAAAAUGCUUAGUGGCUCUUAUAUGCAUGAUUGUUUAUUUAAACUUAGAGCCCAUAUUACUUGUCUUCUCUCUUGAGUUGAAUGUUUGCAGAUUCCAGCUUAGUCCAAUGCACGUGCACUCUUAUUAUUAUACACAUCGUUUGGUCGUGCAAGUGAAAGGCAAUAAUGACGAUAUAUGAUGGACUUAUUGGGAAGAGAAAAACUGGUAUGAACUCGACCUCUCUUGUUUUUGUAAAUAUGAUGAUUCAUCGUUCUUGAUUCAGCUAUUAUGAAGUAAACAUAUUUGCAAUGACAUUUAGAGAUUAUCGUUUCUUGCGCCAUGCUUGAUUAGCUAUGAGUUAUAAUGGUUUACCUUGCGUGCCAACAUGCUAUUAGAAUGAUUGUGAUGUGGUAUGAUGAGGUGGUAUCCUCCUUUAAAUGCAUUGAGUGACUCGACUUGGCACAUGUCACGCAUGUAGUUGAAUCAAAUCAACAUAGCCUUCAUGAUAUUUAUGUUCAUGGUGGAUUAUAUCCUACUCAUGCUUGUACUUGGUGUGAAUUAAUUUUAAUGCAUGUUUACGACCGUUGUCGCUCUCUCCGUUGGUCGCUUCCCAGUCUUUUGCUAGCCUUCACCUGUACUAAGCGGGAAUACUGCUUGUGCAUCCAAACUCCUUAAACCCCAAAGUUAUUCCAUAUGAGUCCACUAUACCUACCUAUAUGCGGUAUUUACUUGCCGUUCCAAGUAAAUUUGUAUGUGCCAAACUCUAAACCUUCAAAUAAACAUUCUGUUUUGCAUGCUCGAAUAGCUCAUAUGUCAACUAGAGCUGCCCUUAUCUUCCGUGUUAGGAGGAUUAUUCUCAAGAGGAGUGGACUCCGCUCCUCAUUCACGAGAAAAUGGCUGGUAUCCGGGAUGCCCAGUCCCAUGCUUCGUGCAAACUAAAUCAAAAUAACUGCAAACAAAACUCCCCUUGGGACCCGUUGAAUGUUGGAGGCACUCGUUGUUUCGAGCAAGCCAUGGAUUGAUGCUUGUGGAGGAAGGGGAGUAUAAACUUUACCAUUCUGUUUGGGAACCGCCUAUAAUCUAUCUAGCAUGGAAGAUAUCGUCGUCUUUUAGUUGUUAUGUUGACAAUGAAAGUAUGCCGCUCAAAAUAUAAUUUAUCUCUAUUUCAAAACCGAGCUCUGGCACCUCUACAAAUCUCUGCUUCCCUCUGUGAAGGGCCUAUCUAUUUACUUUUUAUGUUGAGUCAUCAUCCUUCUUAUUAAAAAGCACCCGCUGGAGAGCACACUGUCGUUUGCAUUCAUUAUUAUUGGUUUAUAUUGGGUAUGACUUGACUGGAUCUCUUUUACCAUGAAUUACAAUGUUUAGUCAGUCCUUAAUCUUUAAAGGUGCUCUGCAUUUAUGUUUUGCGGUCUCAGAAAGGGCUAGCGAGAUACCAUUUUGUUAUAUCAUGUUAUGAUUAUUUUGAGAAAGUGUUGUCAUCCGAGUUUUGCUAUUAUGGCUCACUAGCUGAUUAUGCUAUUGAUAUGAGUAAUUUUGAGACUUACGUAUCAUUGUGAGUAUGGUUAGUUCAUGAUAAUUGCUGACUUGAAUGCUGGCUUUUCAUGUUUACAACAACAAGAGCAAACAGAGUUUGUAAAAGUUUUUCUUUUUCUAUUUCAGUUUGUCAACUAAAUUGCUUGAGGACAAGCAAGGGUUUAAGCUUGGGGGAGUUGAUACGUCUCCGUCGUAUCUACUUUGCCAAACACUUUUGCCCUUGUUUUGGACUCUAAUUUGUAUGAUUUGAAUAGAACUAACCCGGACUGGCGUUGUUUUCAGCAGAACUGCCAUGGUGUUGUUUUUUGUGCAGAAAAUAAAAAUUCUCGGAAUGUCCUGAAACUCCACGGAACACCUUAGAAAAAAUAAAGAAAAAUCCUUGCAAAAGAUGAAGACCAGGGGGCCCACACCCUGCUCACGAGGGUGGGGGGCGCCCCCCCCUGGGCGUGCCCCCUACCUCGUGGCCCCCUGCUGGCCCUCCGACGCCAACUCCAACUCCAUAUAUUGGCUUUCGGGGAGAAAAAAAUCAGAGAGAAGAAAUCAUCGUGUUUUACGAUACGGAGCCACCGCCAAGCCCUAAUCUCUCUUGGGAGGGCUGAUCUGGAGUCCGUUCGGGGCUCCGGAGAAGGGGGUUCGUCGCUGUCGUCAUCAUCAACCAUCCUCCAUCACCAAUUUCAUGAUGCUCACCGCCAUGCGUGAGUAAUUGCAUCGUAGGCUUGCUGGACGGUGAUGGGUUGGAUGAGAUUUAUCAUGUAAUCGAGUUAGUUUUGUUAGGGUUUGAUCCCUAGUAUCCACUAUGUUCUGAGAUUGAUGUUGCUAUGACUUUGCUAUGCUUAAUGCUUGUCACUAGGGCCCGAGUGCCAUGAUUUCAGAUCUGAACCUAUUAUGUUUUCAUGAAUAUAUGUGUGUUCUAGAUCCUAUCUUGCAAGUCUAUAGUCACCUACUAUGUGUUAUGAUCCGGCAACCCCGAAGUGACAAUAAUCGGGACCACUCCCGGUGAUGACCAUAGUUUGAGAAGUUCAUGUAUUCACUAUGUGCUAAUGCUUUGUUCCGGUUCUCUAUUAAAAGGAGGCCUUAAUAUCUCUUAGUGUCCAAUAGGACCCCGCUGCCACGGGAGGGUAGGACAAAAGAUGUCAUGCAAGUUCUUUUCCAUAAGCACGUAUGACUAUAUAUGGAAUACAUGCCUACAUUACAUUGAUGAAUUGGAGCUAGUUCUGUGUCACCUAUGUUAUGACUACUAUAUGAUGAACCACAUCCGGCAUAAUUAUCCAUCGUUGAUCCGGUGCCUACGAGUUUUCCAUAUACUGGUUCUCGCUUAUUUACUUUUCCGCCGCUACUGUUACAAUCACUACAGAAUACCCAAAAACAUUACUUUUAUUGUCUUUACUUUUGUUACAGUUACCACUACUAUCAUAUUACUUUGCUAGUAAACAACUUGUUGCAGAUACUAAGUUCCAGGUGUGGUUGAAUUGACAACUCAGCUGCUAAUACUUGAGAAUAUUCUUUGGCUUCCCUUGUGUCAAAUCAAUAAAUUUGGGUUGAAUACUCUUCCCUCAAAAGCUGUUGCGAUCCCCUAUACUUGUGGGUUAUCAAGGGCCAUGUCGUGUGUGGGAUAUUUACUCGCUCAAAAGUGUCGCCCCAAAGCCAUUCUGUCGAACAACGUCUCACUCCAUCCAAUUCCCACGAACGAUGUCGCACAGGAGCUAUUGACCCAUCCCUUCCCCGGUGAGGCUGCGGGUCCCGGCCUCCUUCGCCUGCCACUCCCGCGACAGGACAGGGAGGGGACCCCGGCGUUUCAAAUCCGACACAUAAUUAGGGUAGGAUUAGUGUUCUUGGAGGUGUUGUUUCAGUGGAGAGGACUAUGUCGAGUCGGAAUAAAUUGUCGGUGUUCUUUCUCCGACUUGGUGGUUCUCCAAUCGGUGACGCCAGGGAGGAGUCGGCACAGUCUUCUCGUCGGUCUACGGUUCCGGCGAACUUAGGUUCUGGUGGUUGGCGCCUGUCAUUCUCAACGGCGGCGUGGUCGACCUCUGUAGAUGCAUUUGAUGUCUUGGAGUUGGGUGAGAGGAUGCAGGUUGGAGGCGGCGCUCUUCUUCCUCGACUAUAUUAGGUGAAGAUGGCGGUGCCAGGAUCAGGUGGACAUGGGGAAGAUCCCCGGCCGAGGUGCCACAACGACUUGAUCUUGUCGCUUCCGACAGAUCGUUUAAUCAGCUCAAAAAACAGCAUGGUCUGUGAUGGUGCCCCUCCUGAUAUGGCUUUGAAGGUGAUCCGGCUCUGCCUCUAGCGGCGCUACAGCGACGGCAGCGACGGACGGGUGAAAAUCCGGCAAGGUACAAGGGGAUCUGAUGUUCAAAAUGUGUAUUUUUCUUUUAUAGGUUCCUUUGUGCAUAACUUCUUGACAUUAGUUUGUCUCUAUGUCUUCUAUGGUUUCCACGUCCUUGUACGUUGUUAUCUUCAUGUUUAAUGGAAUGUGGUUACUUAAAAAAACAACGCUAAUUCGAGAGUCACAUCAAGCAUCCAUUAAAAUAUAGGCAGUUCAUGCUUCUGUUUGUAGUUAUGAGUGUCACUAUUUCGUACUCUUAUGUUUGUAGUUAAGAGCACCAUCCGUUCGACAUAAAACAGAACACAUCACCAGUGGAUGUAGUUGUUCAUAAGGAAUAAGAGCAGACAUAUCCCCCAUGGCCUUCUCGUCGGCGUCCUCAUCGUCCUCGGAGGCACAACUGUACAGCCAGGCUUCGUCAUCGACGUCCAUGGAGACAUCGUCCACCGACCGGCGCAACACAUUGGUGAGGCCCUGCGCAUCCGCCGGGUCGUUAGGGUGGCGUGACGGGCGAGUGUACGCCUCUGACUUACAGAGGGCAUGGAGCAGGGGCGGAGCCGGGAUUUAGUCAUGAGGGGGGCAAAGAAGAUAAUCAUAGCUAAAGAGGGAGAAAAUUUGUGGCCGUAUGCAUCGUCUAGAUGCAGAGGCCGGGGAUGCUUCCUUCUUUUUUUUUAAAAAAGAGGGAGAAAAAUUCCAAUAUGGACUAGCCUUUGGCACAUUCAUGCCUCAUUGUCCAUGUCCAUGUAAAUCAUAUGAAUAUUGCCAUUUCAUGAAAUCCUAGCAAAUUGAACUGUGGGGAGCCGUUUGCAGCAAAAAGGACGGUUCUGUUUGUUCGGUCCAUAUUUUCCCCGUUAUGUUAUUCCCAAUGCAACAUUGAUAUCAAAUCAUAACAAUAUAUGUUCACAACUAAAAAGGUACUAUAUUCCUCCUAGAAGAAAUUUAGAUCUAUGGCUGGUAAUAAGAUCAAACCAAAUUAAAAGACAUGUCAAAUAAUAGAUUGAUCUAUUGAAAGUGAAAUAAUAUAAGCACACUAGUUGACUAUAAUCUAUGUGGGAAAAAAUGUACUAGUAAUCUGUAAUCUAGAAAAGCACAUCGAAUCUAAUUGAAAAUAGGCAAAUCCGGUCAGAAAUUUAUCCAUAGCACGAUUUAUGCAAAUAUAUUAUUAACCAGACCAGUAUAGACCUGGUUCCUAGAAAAUCAUACUAGUAGUAGAAUGUAAUCCAUGGAAAACAGUAAUUACUAGUGUACCUUCAGGAUAGAAGAACAUAUGCAGAGAUCCACGGACUUUUAUUUGGAGCAAAGGCAGAAUUAAAUAGAGGCUGAACGCCAUGGCUAGUAACAGCUUUGACGGCGGCGGCAAGCAAGAAAGCGAUCAGUCGGUACUCGGUAAGAUCGAUUCUUGACAACGGCGGCGGGUAGGUCUUUGCGAGAAGGUCUUGUAUGCCCAGACCCUAGAGAGCGUCCAUGAGAACUUUCAGAUUUUCAUAACACCACGCUGGCCUCAAUGGCCUGAACAUGGGCUGAAUUAGUGGGCUUUCUUAUGUAUAAAAAAGAUUUAGGACUGGGCUUAAUGAAGGGAUUAAUUAACAGCUACGCUACAUAUUACCUACCAGUCCNNNNNNNNNNNNNNNNNNNNNNNNNNNNNNNNNNNNNNNNNNNNNNNNNNNNNNNNNNNNNNNNNNNNNNNNNNNNNNNNNNNNNNNNNNNNNNNNNNNNNNNNNNNNNNNNNNNNNNNNNNNNNNNNNNNNNNNNNNNNNNNNNNNNNNNNNNNNNNNNNNNNNNNNNNNNNNNNNNNNNNNNNNNNNNNNNNNNNNNNNNNNNNNNNNNNNNNNNNNNNNNNNNNNNNNNNNNNNNNNNNNNNNNNNNNNNNNNNCCCCUCCUGUCUCCGCCCCUGGCAUGGAGGAGCCUGGGUUCGUCCUCCGGGUGGCCGUCCUCCGCCAUAAGGGGUGGAGGCGGCAAGUACUCCUCUUCCAGCUCGGGCUUGGGGCCGCGGAGGAACGGCGGGGAGGGAUCGGGCUUGAUGCGGACGCCACCCGAACCGACGUGACGUGGCCACGUGCCCUGGUGUGAGGCCUGGUGCCCGCCAUGCACGUCCAGGACCUCGCCGACGCUGCACCCGUGCAAAACUUCUGUUGUGCCUGGCGGUUGUGUUGGCACAGUGGUGUGUUGCCGGCGUAGCGGUUGAGCAACUCAUGCUGCCGGUCGGAGAGGAUGUCAUGACAGAACGGGCUGCGCAUGGUAGUAGUGUGGCUUCGCACUCGCCUCUGGUUUGAGAGGCGUGGCGAUGGGCUGACAACCGCAUGUCCGGUGUGAAGAUGUCGAGCCACGCCAGCUCCUCUGCCGCGGCGACGGUGAGGUUGCGCGUCGGCCACCUGUUGCUACCGGCUCCGUAGUUGUUGCAAGGCAUGCUGGAGAGGAGAGGGGAGUCGCGCCGGUGAGGAGGAGGAUGCGCGUCGAUGGUGGGCGAGGAGGAGGUGUGCGACGGUGAUGAAGAGGGAGGGUGUUUUGUAGGCGGGUGAGAGGGCAGGUGUAGGUAACCGACGGGUAGCUGGCGUUACGCCGCCAUUAAAUGGGGUAGUGCAUUGGACUCCCGCCAUCCACGCGGUGCGACGACGAGACGGUGGUGUUGCGUGUGAGCAAUCGCUUAGGCUAGUCAUAGUGAGAGUAACAUAAGUAGUAACAUAGAUGCCACAUAAGCAAAAAAGAUGAUGUGUCAUGUGAUUAAAGAGGAGAGAGACAAAUAGAGUAACAUAAUAUGUUACCAUAACAUAGCGGUUCCCAAUACAAAAUGAGUCUACAAAGCAAUAAAUGAAGACAUGUAUGUUAUUACACCUAUGACACUUCCCACUAUGAAGGUAGUAACAUGGACUAGUAACAUAUGUAUGUUACUAGUCUAAGUUACUCCCCACUAUGACCAGCCUUAGUGUCAAAGCCGGUGGCUAUAAUUACGCGGUCUGAUGACUUGGGAGGACACAACGUAUAGGCGUGCGCACGGCUUACAUGCCGCCCAUCAUGGUGCCGUCAACCGGGGCGAGCAUGGCCACGUGGCCCUGGCAGUCGCUGUGCGUGAAGCGGCAACACUCAGCUUCUGCCUAAAUACGUCGAGCUUUUUAAUAGCGGGUGGUCGUUGCCCAGCUAGCGCUCCGGAGUGGCCGACUGAAAAAAGAAAUAUUUUGUCCCCCUAAUCUAUAAAUGAAAAUAGUUUGCCCCUUCUAAUCCAUAUUAGAAAAAUUGAACAAGUGUGAACAUGUGUGAACAGAAAAGGAAAAAGUAAGUGCAAAGCACCCAUAUGAACAUGUGUGAACACAUUUAGUUGGUGUUUUCAAAUUUAAAAAAAACCAUAACUUUCAAACCGUGAAUUGAAAUUAAAAUCCGCUUUCACCGUUGAAACCCUCACGGCAUGCUUUUCGAAAGUAGAUCCUACAUGGGUAUGUUUCGAUGUAAUUGUUUUUGUGCAAUUUUGUCUCCGUUUUGUGCAACCGCUUAAGUCAAAUGUGCAACUACCUGAUAAUGGAUGCACAACUUUCCGCCUGCCCCGUAGACGUGCAAAUUUCACUAAUGUCACUUCCACCCCCAAACUACUCCCUUCAAGUGAGAUGUGCAACUUCGUCUGUUGCCCAGACCUACUGCCUAGUAAUUGAUGUGCAAUCUUUCCCCUACCCGUGGAUGUGCUGUCACCGUUUGCUGCCUCAACCAUCCGCCUAGCAGUGGAUAUGCAACUUCGGAUGAUCCCUCGACUAACUGCCUAGCAAUGACGUGCAACUUUGCCUCGUAUCCCCAUGAAUGUUUAGUUUCCUCUGUUAGCACCCCGUCCGAAACACCCCUGCUUGUGAGAUGUACAACUUUAGCACCUCAUCUAUAUGCAAAUUUUUAGUACCCCUCAUGGAUGUGUAGUUUUCACCAUCCAACUAUCCCUGGCAGUGCAAUGUGUAACUUUGUAUGUUGAUCUGGCCAACUACCUAAUAGACUAUGUGCAACUCUGUAUGUUGCCACCACCAACGGAAACUACACAUCCACAAGGAUGCAGGGGGAGUUGCACAUCAACUACUAGGCAAUUCGUUAAACCAACAGACUAAGUUGCACAUAUUGCUGGGAGGGUAGGUGGGGCAGGGUGUGUUAGCAAUGAAAAACUACACAUGCACAAGUAAGGAGGGGGUUUGCACAUUUAGUACGAAGUAGUUGGUAGGAGCACUAGACUAGUUACACAUCACAAAAAGUUGGUUGUCAUGGUUUCUAGAUUCUAACCUCAUUGAAAGUUGGAUCAUGCAGCUUUAAAUUGAAUAGGAAAAAAGUUGCACAAUGCAGUACUAAAGUUGCACCAUAUAGUAAUAGAAUUGCAUCAUAUAACUCCAAAGUUGGCAUCAUACUUUUUUAGUCGCAACAUAGACAUGCGUGAGGUCUCGUCGCAAAGAUUCCAACGAUGAAAACAUAUCUGAAUUUCGACACGCGGCUUAAAAGAUAGGGCUUUUUAAAAUUUGGAAAGCUAAAAUAAAUGCACGUGAAGCUGUUUUUUUCUCAAACCGAAAUAGUCUUUGUGAACACAAUUAAUGUUAAUAGCUAUACAUCCUAGUAGACAAAAAAACAC
rnacentral:lncRNA from 1 species